rnacentral:lncRNA from 1 species
CCGAGGGCAAUGGUCGCGCCUUACCAGUAGUGCAAAACCCUAGUAUGUAUGUUGUUACAGGGUGGUUAACUUCGCCAGCGGCCCCCUUUCCCGGGGCAGUCCCUGCUCUCCCCUGCUAGAGGGGCACCCUAAUCCGUCACCCCAUCCGACUUCAGAAUGUAUUCGUUGAGUUCGGCAACUCACCACCAGCAUCCAACCAAAUCUAGCGGAUCAACGGCGCAUCAACUUAGUUCCUGGUCAGCUCGCAAGUUGAUAUUAUCACGUCCUACACCGUCCAUAAGAUGGGGGGCCACCUCCCAUUUCAUCACUCCUCAAACACCCGAGGAGCCGGCAGGCGGAUUUGAACCCGGGUCGACUGGGUCAACUGGGAGCAGAAGUCAGGCCUUAACCUCUGCCAGCCGCCUGCCUAGUAUGUAUGUAUGCAUGCAUGCCGAUCAGUGCUAGUCCGCGCUUUUCCCAGAUCGUCCAUGGUUUAUCCUCAGCUCCUGUACCCCGCUGGCUCCUGCUCAGCGCUGUCCAAGGCACCCGGGAAGCGGGAGGUCUACGCCACGUGCUGCUGGGGCACAAAACGUUUAGGAUAUCCGCACAACACACAUGCCCAUUACCGCUCACGCGUCCUGAAUUAUUCGGUAACAAUGCCUUCCGCGAUGGUUCGCCCACUUGGUGUCCUAACGCCUUCCCCCCUCGCCCUGCUGCUGCUCAGGGAGUUGCAUUCGACAACCGCCGGGGGGUGAUACCCAACUUAGAGGGGCGUGUGCUGAAACAGGUGCGUGCGUGCGUGUCUACCUGUGUGUCUUGUCUGUAUCUAUUUGUCUGUCUGUCUUGUCUGUACCUAUUUGUCUGUCUGUCUUGUCUGUAUCUAUUUGUCUGUCUGUCUUGUCUGUAUCUAUUUGUCUGUCUGUCUUGUCUGUAUCUAUUUGUCUGUCUGUCUUGUCUGUAUCUAUUUGCCUGUCUGUCUGUCUUGUCUGUCUGUAUCUACUGCCUGUCUGUCUGUCUGUCUGUGCACGUGUGAAUGGUGCAGUGCAGUGCGUUUACACGCCAGGGAUGCUUGUUGCGGUUUCUGUCGGCGGGCUGACUUUCACAGCCUGCAGGCUGUCGUUGUCGUGGUCGUUGUCGUUGAAGCUGGUCGUAGGGUCACCGCAGGGGUUGGGAGGGUCGGCGGUGUGGGCUGUCGGCUGCUCUCCUUUCCGCCCGCUGUCCUCCGCGCCAUUCGACUACUGUACGGCCUAGGAGCUCAAAUCCGAUUCCAACUCAGGCCCCACAUGGCUUCUCCGCUACAGCUACUGGGGUGCUACAAAAGACAACACGCAUAAUACUAGACGGUGCCUUGUCCCGGCUAGACACGCCCAAUGGGCCGCCAUUAAGACAGAGCUGUGCCUUUCCCCCCAUGCGCUGCCUCUCAGGCUGACGCCAGCGCACCCGCCAGCGGCACUGCCGCCGCUGCCGCCAAGGACGAGGGGCUGUAUGUGGUGGGUUGGUUGAAGCGCGGUCCCACUGGCAUCAUCGGGACGAACCUCGUGGACGCGGAGGAGACGGUAGCCUGUGUGGCGGCGGAUACGGACGCGUUGUUGCGGGCCGGAGAGAAGACCCAUGGGUCGGCUGGGCCACCUGGUUUGGCGGGUUUGACGGCGCUGCUGCGGCAGCGUGGCGUGCGUGUGGUGGACUGGCGGCGAUGGCGGCUGUUGGACGAGCAUGAGGUGGCAGCGGGCCGCGCGGCUGGGCGGGUGCGGGAAAAGGAGACGGAAGUGAAGGAGAUGCUACGUGUGUGUGGAUUUUCCAUGGAGUAGCGCGAAUGGACGGUAGGGUCAGCAUGCUGCUGUGUGUACAGCAAGUGGUGAAGAGGAAGGUUACGUGGUGUUCUUUCUUUUGUCACUUAGCAGGUUUAUGUUGUUUUUCAUUUGACCUGAAUUCACCUUGUAAGGAUGAGGAUGUAGGGGUUCACGCCACCACGCUGGCCAGAUGGUGGUUCGAGCCGAUUUGUGUACGGUGAGACAAAUCGUAAAGAUCAAUGGGGCUUCGGGGUAUAGCACGGUUCCGGCUAUAGCGUCACGGCAGAGGUGCCGUCCUGGUAGUUGGGCAUCGUUAUGGGGGCCUUGUAACGUUAUACACCAUCCGCUAUGGCUAAUGGCGCGACGCGACGGUUUCAUGUUAGUGCUUAGUGGCCCCUAUCAGGACCUGGCCGCUUGCGGGGCGACCGAAGGUAUAAUAAAAUAUGGGACUGUGCUCAGGUAUUGAGGACGUAAGAACGCUGGGUGUGGUGUCAGCAGGAAAGGUGGUUACCCUUUCCACCGUCCAAGGACCUUCCUUGGCGGCGGUGUGAAUUGACUGGCCGGAUGCUUGUACAAAAGCAUCUCUUAUCUGUACGCGCGCAAAUCCUGAAUAUGAAUAUGAAUAUCGAGCGUGGGCGUCUUACCCUGGUCACGAUGUAGCUCUUCUUUCCCAUUAAGAUUAACGUACCAGUGCAUAGAGCUCAUGUCCAUACAUAUAAGACUCCUGAAAAUGCAAGCGUAAAUUGAGGACACAACUGCUUAUCAAAACUUAUCGGGAGAGGCCCAACGUCGGACAGCACAACUGAUUUCCUAAAGGACUGAUUUUCCCGGAGGAAAACGAAGCAGGAUAUACUAUCUAUAACACGUCCUCAAACGGACUAUCGUUCCUCCGUAAAUUUGUGGCUGCCGGUGCAUUGCAGUGCAUUUGCGAGAGGACCGGAGGAAGGUGGGAAACGCCCGAAAAUAGGAUAUACACAUGUAGCACGCGACCUUAGCAUGUCCAGAUGUAACCUAGUUGAAUGUAAGGCCUGUGAGGACACACGGACUUGAAUCUUCCGCCUGCCUCGUCCCUAGGGCUUCCCACCUGGGGACAUUGUGCCCUCCGGACCGCCAUGCCGGGGAAGUCACGAAAGAAACAUGCAUACGACACGCUGCAGCCUAUUCAUGCCCAGGAAACUUUCAAGAAUUCCAAACGUGCGCUGGUGCUAUACGCCCGAAACACUGUCAUAGACGCCAGGCCGCAAACCACCUCAGCGGCUUCCUCACACUGCCGCCUUGCAAGUGCACAAUGCCCACCACUAAUUAAGGCAACCGUGAUGCGCACAGAACGACUCAGCAACUACCCCACUCGCUCUCCAAGCCACAGUCAAUGCACCAUCGUUCAAGACGCGACUUCCUCCCCCUUUUUGCAACAUAAUCUUGGAGCACACAGUUACGCACACUCAUUGGAAGGGAUGCCUUCGCCAAGGCCACACCAGCUCUCCAUCCCAGCUCGCGCACAUGCUGAUAGGGAAUAAUCCGGACAUGGCCACAGAGCUAACCGACGUCGCCUUACGUCGCCAACAUACUCUCAAGCUGCACACACAUCCAUAUUUAUCAAUGCAUGGUGACAUGGUAACCGCGAAUCGGUAAAAAGGAUCUGCACGAAUAUAAGAACCCUCUUCCACGUCGUUCGUCAACUCCACGCCGCAACUCUCCACUCCGCUCACCCUCCCCUCACCAGUGUUUGAUUAUGCAACACAACACACCAACAAACUCUCAAGAGGCACUCUGGGACCCCAACACACAGAUUUAUUCUACAUACCACACAUCAAUGUGGACGGCACCUUUCCACAUCACCUUCGGACGGUGCACACAAAGGAACAUUUCUCGACCAAUGAAGCAAACAAUCCGAUUCAACAACCCUACAAACACAGAAAUGGAACACACGAAUACAGCAUAUGUUCAGAUGGCGCAUCACCUGCAGUCAACAGGAUUCCCCUUCGCCCCAUGGCUAAAGGCAUGAGGACACGCAUGUAAAACCCCAAUUACCUGCCCUCACCAAGACCGACAGCAACCCAAAUCAGCCUGGGACUCUAUGGAAAGGGACCCCGAGGGGCAAACGGUAACAGGAGGCAGAGGGCCGUCAAGGACGUGCGCGCAACAAACGCUGCCCGAGCACCCCGGGUCCGCCUACAGCCCCAAACACCCGGGGCAUCAACAUGGGAAAUGCGGGCGAAGUACGCGCCCCCCGAGGCAUCAAAACGUAAUACACGCCGUUGGUCGCUUGGAAAGCCACAUCAGACGCAGUUCUUAUGUCGCUAUCCGUCCUCCUUGAACCAUACAUGCAAGCCGCAUCGAUCAGACACCCUUACAGGUGGCGGACCACACCCCGCUACGCACCAAAACGGCCCAAAUAAUGACUAUACGCACCCGCACUCUUACCAAAAGCAUUCCAUAACACCCGCGCAUGCAUCUAAAUGAUAACCAUGAGCCGCCGCCACAGCAGUUUCACAAUUCAGCACACAUCCUUAAACCGAUAUGACACACCACCGCAACCGGCAUUUUCAAUAACGGGCAUGCAGCGCUGCACCAGCUUUGCAAUGUGUACAUGAAAAUUUACUGAAUUCGGCAUGACGACCCCAAAAAAGAAACUAAGCUCGUGCACAAUACGUCGCUCAAAAACCGUGCUGCAGUUCAUACUGGCCGCGAAGACGCGGUACAAGCGACCGCAGUACAGCUGGUCCAGGGCUAAUACCGCUGCAGCCGGUUGCCAUGUCGCCGCGGUCGCUGCGUCUCUUCCUUCUCCUCCUCGUCGGAAUCAUCGUCAGGCUCCCCUUCCUCAUUUCGUGCCGACUGUUCCUGACUGCGACUGGAGUCGUUCCGGUGUGGGUUGUUACCCGGCCGAUCACCGUCAGGCUGCAUGCCCCCGUUGCCACCACUCCCACCGCCAUUCCCUGCGCGCAACGAGCGAGAGCAGCAAGAACACAAUUAUGCAAACAAAAUGGUCUUUAUUCACACCUGGCCCUUUCACAUGUUUGCGUUUUGUCACUUCCAUGGCGCAACGUAUCGGUAUGCUUAUUACAGGUUUGCGCUCAAAAUACACGUUUUGCAUGCCUUUUCCUUGACCGCCAAUGCGUUGAGGUGACGAUUUGAGUUUGCACGUAUUUGCCUCAAAACAACCAAAGAAAUUAACCACGGCCUGUGGACAAAGUGUGGUGUAGAAACAUUUGGUCGGCUUGGUCCCCCCCUUACUCAUCCAAUACCAAUGCUGUCACUGCCCUGGACACAGUAAGGAGUUUUACUAAGCCUUAACGUAAACACACGUACACCAAAUAUGCAUCCGCUGCUCUUCAAUAUAAAGAUCAAAAUGAACAAGGUGGACACGAAACGACUCCCCUGUAAGUCAGGGAAUGGGCCACCCUCUCGCGGCGGGCAGGAAGGUAAGCGGACAGGAGAGAAGACAAUCAGACAGAGAACUGUGAACGGCCCAGAGUUUAUUGGCGGGCUGCUGCUGCUGUGUCCUUCUAUAAUCAGGCAAACGCGCCUGACAGUGUCUAGUAGCAAGACAGUGUCGAGCAGGAGGGCCAAGGCCCCAUGUUAUCCGCGAUGGCGUGCAUGGCAGGGUAUCCAGCGCCAUGCCACACGCUGCACCCCGUUUUUGGACGCUUAGCCUCAGGUUAAAUGCGUGUGGUUUUCAGCACUCAAGCGCACGCGGGAGGCAAAAAGGAUGCAGGUACCGAGCGAGGUUGUUGCCGCUACCAUAGCGGGCCUUGCAAGCUCACCUCCGCCACCUCCACCACCGCCGCCGCCACCACCACCGCCGCCGCCAGGAAAGUUGUCACCGCCAUACGACGUGAGGAAGAAGUAGAGCCCCAGAACGAAGAGGUUCGGUGCUACGUUACGAGCUGUCCGUUCCCAACCCCAGCCGUCGCCUCCGCCACCGCCGCCACCACCACCCUGCAUUGGUUCAAGAAGGGCUGCAUGUAUCGGUUCUCUUGCGUGCCGCAGAAAUAGGAUAACGUGAAAGCCUUAGCCGCAGCCCCCAAAGGCGCAAGCCCCUCAAUCGAAGCGAGCACCCACGUUACUGUCUAUGGGAGGCAGGUUCGGUGGGCCACUAAGACGUCUUUUUGUUGCUGUGUUGCCCGACUGCGCCUGACCCGCGACGAUGGUGAGGCGUCGACGUGGAGCUGGAAUCUGCACAGAUGCAGAGACGGGAAGGAAUUAAACUGAAAAGUGGAUGCCAGGUGCCAAACAUAAUGGAAAGUUAAAGCCUGCACAGUUUAAAACCGCGCCGAGCCAACGCCCAAAAAACUGGCCCAUAUGUUGUUCACCUGUGCCAAUGGCGCAGCACGACUUCUUCGUUGCACGAAAGCAUUGCAAGUUCGACACCUUAACGCCGCCAUAGCUGUCUCCGCUGGCAAACAGUCAAGCCUUCCCACUUUUUCAAAACAAACUAUCUUAAAAACAGGUGAAGGCUGUGAUUGCAAAUGAUCUAACGAAAUCGCAUAAGGAAAGCAGGUGCAAUAUUGUAUUCAUAACUGGCUGGUUUUUUUCUCCCCCUUCCAGAAUUUCCAAGCUGGUCGUGUACGGGAAUGACGUUAGUGGAGGCAAACGACACGGCGAGAUUUGGUGCUGAUUACUGCACCCAGAUGUGCUGCAUACAUUUAUGCUAUUUGUUUGCUCUCAGUAUCGAUGUAUGGUGCCGACCAUCAGCCUGAUUUACUUCACCCGCCGCCAUGCUCCCGACUCUUCCGUGGUACCAGUCGCGUAACGGUCUUGUGCGAAAGGACUUGCGGAAUUCCAUAAUCCCACGGGGCAAAUCCUCAACUAGGGUAGACUCGGGGCAAAUCCUUAACUAGGUGAUAAUGCGCAAGCACAUAGGAACUGCUUCUACUUGACUGCAAGUCAUGAGCGCCAGCAGCCGUAACUAAGGGGUAAGCAUCUCGUGCAUCAGAUAUUUUUUUCAGAUGCUUUCAGGUGCUAGCUUGUACAGAAUCAUGUGCAAGUAGUCAGUGAGGAUCUGGCUGGACAGCUGUCCCAGUGGGAUGCUGUUUGAUGGCCUAAAUUGGCUUGUCUGUAAAAAGUGAACAUAUAGGAAUUUUAGGGUUUUAGGGUAAGGUGUUUGAAUCUUGUUGCCUUGGUCAAUUCACAGGGGUACAUGGAGAAUGGGGGAACAUAUUCACUUUAGGGGCAAUUGUGCUGUAUGUGCUCAUGCAAGUCCUACCAUUAACACUUUCAGAGUGCUUCAAGGUGAUUUUGUCCGACAUUACUUUAGGCCCUUCGUGGCUGACGAUAAUGGUGAGGGUUCGAUGGCUCCCUUUCAGAAGGCAGCAAUUGCAGGCGGGGCAAACUUGCUUCAGUAUGCCUCCACUAUUGAGCAGCUGGGCUUCCCAAACUUGCUCCAUGUUCAUCACCCUGAACCUGCAUACAUCGGCCAGUAAGCAUUUGGACCCCCUUUGGACGCUAGUCUGGGCUGAUGUGCGGUGUUUUCCUUUCCUCCGUGGCUUUUAGGCGUUGUAGUAUUGCCCUUGGGCCUUCAGCUCGUAUGGGUAGUCUUACAGGUAUGGGGUCACGCACCCCCAACCAUGUAACACACACACACAGAUGCUGAUGUCAUGGUGGAGAGGCAGAUGCAUGUCGCCAAGUCAGCCACGGGCAGGGGUGUCAGCCGCUUCCCAGGCAAGCACGUCACAGUACGGGAGUGCAUCCAGUAUGCUUAGCAAAAUGUAAAAGAAGGGGCAGAUGCUGCUGGUGUCUAACUGAGGUCACUUCAGCAGUUCUUCAUGUUUUUCUGCCAGGCUGAUCUCCUGCGUCCCAAAUGCCAACCCCAGUCCGCGCUUGAUGAUCAUACACACUUGAUGGGCAGUUCUGUCCCACUACAGAAGAACCCCUUGUUAGCUCAGGAGGUCAAGGCUGGUGGCUUUUGAACACCUUUUUACUGAUGUGUGCAUGUGGGGUUCCUGGAUGAGGUACGGCAUGCAUUCAAGUGCAGUAUCUGUGCUGAACAAGCCAUUUUGAAGCAUUCAUGUCAAGUAAUAUAGACAAAGUUUCUUUCAUGGAUCCGUAUGGCACAGUUUGGGGAAGGAUCUAGAGUAGGCAGCAGAAGGCAGUCCGCCAGUGCGGAGAUGUCAUCGUAUGAAAUCUAUUUUGCCACACGUGUAGCAAUCUGUUGCGCCAUCAGUUAUUUUUUCAAUUCUCCCUGCCAUGACUACAUGCAACUAACACCGUACAACGGCCAACGUCCAUGACGUCCACUAUGCGUUUGCAUGGCACUUAUCACGGCUGGCAGAAAUUUACGCAGGUGCAGUUCCUGUUCCGAACUAUAGCUGAAGCCGACGAACUAUAACAUCAUGGCUCGGCUACUAAACACUGACACUGUCAUUUAAGGUACAGAUGGGAAUACAGAUGACAUGGCAACCUUCUGGCAUGUUUGUGCUAUUUAAAAGUUUUGUAGGAAAUUAGAUUCAUUCGCUGCUAGCCAGACCUGAAUGUCGGCGGCCACAUCUGGAGCUUGUACUCAAUGCCAUCGCGCUGGGCAGCUCCGCCCCAUAGGGAAGGCAUCGUUAUCCCAGGCAGCUAAUUUCCGGCGCCUUUGGGGCCCGGUGCCGCCGACUUUGGCGCCCGGCCCCUCGACUUCACGGACUUCAGGAGCAGUCCGUGGUUUGACAGUGGUCCAUGCCCGACGGAAAUGGUACGCCAUUUUUGAGCCUGCUGCUGCACGUGGAGUCUACAGGCUCUGGGAGCAUGUGAAGCACUUCGUCACGGGCCAGGCGAAUGCUGUCCAUAAGGGGUUCCCGAGCGAGGCCGCAGCGCUGGAAUGGAUAUCACAGCUAACACUACGUUACCAAGAGGAGGUAAGGUACUGCAAUAUGCUGUAUGUUUAUAUGCAUCCGUGCACAUGUGCGCCUAUCCCCGCAAUCUUGACUCCCAUCCCUGCAGUCCCUGCAGAAGUACAUGCGCAUUUCCGCAUGCUGCCACCUUUAUAAACUGGUUACUUUGCCUUGGCCUUGCCGCGGACUCGACUCAAUCCUUCAAUCCCUUAAUCUCUGCAGGAGCACGCUCUCGAGCAGCUGCGCCAAACGAUCCUUGGACCGGGCCACCGUGUUGGUCAGCCUGCGCCAAUGUCUCCCAUUCCCGGCCAUCACUUCAGCGUCUCCAGGUCGUCCCGCCCGAGCCUCGGCGCAUCCGCUGGCGGCGAUACCGCAGGUCCCGCAGCCGCCUCUGCUACGCUCGCAUCCGCAAACCCUCGCCCCUGGCAGACGCCGCCCAUUGUGUUGCCGGUACCCGCGGCCCCCUCCCGGGAGUACUACCGCAAGUGGUAUGCCGUUAGGUUUGUGGAUGGCGGCAGCCCCGCGGUCUACAACACUUGGCAGGUGGGCGCGAGGUGGGCGUGUGAGCUAGGCCCGAGUAGGAUGGAGAACACGCCACGACUGUGACAACGACAGAAUGAACAGCGGGCUUGUACAGCCCACGUCCGCAGGCGGUCAAGGCUUCUGCGGGCAGGGCUCGCACACCAAGGAUUGCACUUUUUGCUGACGCUUUGAUGCAUGCCCUGAUUUCUCAACUGCGUUCACACAUUGUAUAGCCAUGGUCAUCAUUUCAUGGUUGCUCCAUGACGGGGUUCCCUCACCAUGCGCCUCUGUCUUGAUGUGCCGUGCCGUGCACACUGCGCAUGGCAUGCGCCGCGUGUGUCAUUCCAUGACAUACUGGACAGUUUUCCUCAGGAAGGGCACGAGCAUGCGUGUGGUGUGCCUGCCAUGACGGGGCGGCCUGUUGCGUGGCGCCCGGACCGCUGUCACACCGCAUAUCGUAGCAGCGUGAUGUGUGACCCAGAUGCCCAGCAUGAUGAUGUGGCGUGUUUCCUGUCCUGGCAUGUGAGCUUCUGAGUGGCUUCUGUUGCGCCUUCUCACUCACGAUGGCAUCUGCUGAGUACCAAUGGGUUCGUUGUGGCUUCAGGAGACGGAGGCGGCUAUCAGUGGGCGUUACGCGGAGCACAGGUCAUUUGAGUGAGUUGGGUGAGGGGGGGGACAUGAUAGGAGGGUGAGGGGAUAUCGCAACGGUGGACGAUCGGAAAGUGGGUGGCCCAUGGGUCUCUGACCUACUUCUCCACGCGCUAUGUGUCGAGGGCGUAUAUCUGCAAGAAGCUGGGAAGGGACCCGCCCGAGAAGAAGCCUGGCAUUUGUUAUUCUGGUGUCGAAGUGUGGGGAUCAUUCCCGUGCCAUUCCUGUGCCGCCCUCCCCCCUCCGCACAAACGGGUUAUGGGUGGGGCCCCUAGCUAGGGGGGCACUGCUGCUAGUGAAAAAGUCGCCUAGACAGAUGUGUGGAGGCCUGGGGAAGGAGUGACCCAAGGGUCUGUCCGGGGCUGAUGGUCGCUGAUGAUCCCAUGCAAUCCGACGUCCCCACAGCUCCCGGUUGGAGGCUCUGCUGUACGCUUUCGGGCCCACGUACGUUGACCAGCUACUGCAGGACGAGCAGUUGCUGCAGCAGCUACAGCCGGACUGCCAGGCCCAGUCUGUGGCCGAUGCAGCAGCGUCGGGCUAUUGCGCAUCACCGUGCGGUGUCUCGAACGAGGCCAAUGAAACCGCCGUGACCUCCCAGCGCGGGCUGUUGACUAAUAAGCCGUAUCAACCGCACGAGUAUGGGGAAACGUACGGCGAGCAGUCUUCAUAUUCUCAUGUCGAACAUGGUCAUCACGGUCUUCAUGGGCAAUCAGCAGUCGGUGACAAUGAGGAUGUGGAGACCGUCGACGUGCACAGGGGCGCCCCAGAUAUCUGGAGCUUUGCAGAUAUGGCAGCGGCGGUCGUGUCACGGAUCCAAGGCGUCCCAGCCAGCUUGACAAACCUCCGUACGACUGCCUUGGCGUCGUACGAUGCUGCCGCGUCGCGGCCGAUGCCGGUGAGCCCAGGCGGCGGCUUGGCGGCUUGUUCGGAUCAACGGCCGCCGGAAGUCCCGUCGGCCGCCAGCCUUGGCUGGCGGCUGCCGGCACCUACAGCCGUGACUGCACCGUUGUCGUACGUUGUGCCGUACGGGAGCCCUGCGCCAGCGAUGGUGCUUACCGCUGCUGCCGUUGUACCGGCGCGCACGCCUUGCCGAGGUCACUCCGCCAGCAGUCCACUAGAUCACCGGCUUCAACACUCCAGCAAACAGCAGCGGCAGCAAAAGCACCUCGCUGCCCCUGGCGAAUUACAGCUGGAGGUGGAAGAAGCGCGGCCGCUACCUGCGCCCUACACUUGCGUCCCUGCCCGUUACUCUCUGUCGGCUGCCGCAUCCACGACCCCGCCAACCACCACCUGGCCCCCUCAAGACGGGCUAUUAGCAGCAGGAGCGAGCGGGAGGAGCGUGUACUCCUCCUGCGACCCAGAAGGUCCUUGUAGUGCCAACAGCACCCCGGGUGGCAGCCUUGGCAGCGGCCGCUCGGAGGGGACGUCGUCAUCCUGUCGCCUUGAACCGCGUGUGCAUUUUCCCUCAUCACCAUCAUCAUCAUCAUGCGGCGGAGCGCCCUCAAUGUCUUGGCCACCUGCCGCUGCUCUCGGUUACGACGACAGAGGUGCAAACGAUUCAGUCGAGGUUGAGCAGCCGGGACCCACGGAUGCAGUAGACGUGGAUUCGGGUUCAGAUUUGGAUUCAGGCGGCCAGCGAGUUCCAAAUCUGUUGUUGGAACCUGCUGCAGAUCACACUCGGCGGCCUCCUCUUGCUUUAGCAAAUAGCCCGGGAUCCGCCUUGACAGCGCAGGCCCUGUACGCGCAUGCACUGAGGCAUGUGCGGGCAGCGGGGACGGUAUCGGCGUCCCCGGUGUCGCUGUCGCCGCAGCUGCUGCCACAGCAGCAGCAGGCGGACGGCAGUACGGCGGCGCCGACCCGGCGGCGGCGAGGACGGCCGCGUAAGGUGGUGACGGCGACGAUGGCGGCGGCGGCAGCUGCAGCGAUUUCCCUUGUGGUAAGCACUCCUCCCUGUGCCGUACCAGAGACCAGUGGCGAGGGGCCGGCGAAGGUGGAGGCGGAGACGGGGUCGGUGCCACCGGUAAAGCGCGGGCGAGGGCGACCACCCAAGAAAGCAACGGCUGCUGGUGGUAGCGUUGAAGCACCGGCGCAAGCGCCAGUGGUGGCGCCCAAGCGGCCGCGGGGUCGGCCACGUAAGACGACAGCUGCUAGCGUGUAGACACGGGUGGGGAGUUGGCAAUCCAGGGUUCCCCCGCAUGGCGGCUGUGUCAUAAGGGGUGAUGUGAGGCUGAUGGGAGAUGGUGAAGGAAGGGACCGGCUUGCGGGAACAAACUUGAUCAGAAACGCGCCCGGCGAGGAAGACGUGCUUCCCGUCCAAGAGAGAGAGAGAGAGAGUGUGUGUGUGUGUGUGAGGGGGGGGAGCCAUGGUGCUUCCUGAGGUUGUAGCGAAUCUUCUCACCAGCUGUCGGGGUUUCGUUUGGUGGGGCGCUUCAGUCGUGCCUUCCGGUCACAGCCAUGAACGAGAGCAAGAGCAGGACACGUGAUAGCAUCUUAGAGGAGUUAAGAGGAGGAGAAUCUUUUCCCUGUGUCAGGAAAAUGUAUGGCAUAGGACAAGAAGUGAAUCGCCAGCGUAGCGCCUUAAAAACAAGGACGAUUCAUGCAGUCUCGCCGGAAGCUCGUUGGCCUUUCCAGGCAAACAACAAAACAAAGGAGAGGCUCAAGGUAGCUACAUGUUUGCGAUAUCGGCUCAUGCGAUCUUACUUACUGGAGUGGGUUUUGGCAGAGGGCUUUUCAAGCUAUGCGAGGAGGGGGAGAAAGAGGAGCGGCAGGGGAGGUUUUGACCAGAGCUGUGGCGUCGACCAGAGUUUUUUUGCCUCGCACACCUCGGUGACGACGGCUCGCGACAGAUAUGAUGCACAUGGGUACACGGGGAGGACAGGUGAAUAUGUUUGCGUACUGAAGGACGUCUGUUCCGCUGGGAAAACUUACUUGACGCGGACUAACUAUCCACAGCUAUCAGAAGGGGGUUACUGUCGGUUUGUGAGGUUAGGCUGUAUUUGCGUGACGCACACGUUUCCUGCAGUCUCUUGCGCGUAUUAUGAGGGCGGAAUGGAGCAAACAGGCAUGAUAUGCGAGCGCGGAAACGUAUGGCGGUUCCCGUAGCACAUUAAAAGUGCAGAGCAGCUUAGGGCACCACAGGGUUUUGGAUCCGUGAUGGAGGCAGCACUAUUGCACGUCGGUGCAUAAAUGUAUUCAACCUUCUGGGUGGUCAAACAACUUUGCCGUUUCCUUUCUUGCCUUGGACAGGCAGCCAAGCAUUGGCGGUGGUUAUGUGCCUUAUUUUCUAUAUCCUUUCUUUCUUUUAGGCGCCCUCUUAGCUCUUAGCAUCACAGCGAUUUUGAUUUUCUCACUCUCUUUUACUGGCGACAGGACGGACGUAUGCCUUGAUUGCUUUGAUCCCCAUACUGCCGCUCGGGCAAGCGUCAUGCAGGAUGUGCAAUAGCCUGGCAGUUGGUUUUAAAUACAUAGAUCUUGUUCCCUUGUAAAAGAUGCCAGCCAAGUAUUUGGUGGCAAGCCAAGCCUUAUCACCUUCAUAUUAGUCGACCAAGGGGUACAUGAUGAUGUUGAGGAGGGGGGUGGCCAUGACAAAGGUGGGCCGUAGAGGACGAGGUGGGCCAACAGCGCGCAGACGCAACUUUCCAUAUACCGUGCAAAUCACUAUGUAAGAUUGAAAUGAAUCCCCUUAUUUCCCUUAUUAUUCAUUGCCGCCCCCUGCCACAAAUUGCCAGUCACUUUCGCGAGCAUUGACGCUUCGAUACAUGGAGAGGAACGCUUUGCACUGCAUCUUCUUUCAGUUUGUGUCAUCAUGCCCCACACCGUACCCGGCGCGCCGUCCAAUCUUUGGCUUAUUCUCUCGCUAGAUCCUAUGGCGCCACGUAAGAAGUGAAGGUGAGGAGCGGUUACGUCGCCUCACAGGCAGCCAAGGAGCACACACGCGUCAUCCAACUAGCCUUUCUUUUAUCCCCCUCUCCCCAACCCCCCUUAAGCACAACCAGGUCUCCAGGGUAACACUCCCCCGGCUAUACUGUCCUGCAUGACCCCCCUCUUCCGUCCCCCCUCUCUUACCCUCCAGACCAUCACCGCUGUCGCCACUCACUCCUGCUGCUGCUGCUGCUGCUGCUGCUACCACUUGAGCACGCUAGCUAAUGCAUGCAGCUACUAUGAAUGCACUGAGGAGUUGUCCUUUCGCGUCCCAGGUUAUCCCAACUUGAGACAAGGUAGGCCGAUAGGAAGGCGCAAAUUAGGUGAUUAGAUUAAUAACGCGUGUAAAAGCGACGUGUAUAGGAGCGACAGGAUGACGUCUCAGGAUGAGGAGGCGGACACGGACACCGUCCCUGCGGCCCUCCCCUCCUCCCCAGGGGCUUCUAGGUGCCCGAUGAUUGCAGCCGAGGUAAAUCCAGCUGCCCGCACCUUGGCGAGCACUUCCCCCUCGGCACCCGACUCCACCGCCAACAACAGACCGCCGCUGGUCUGGGGGUCAACCAGCAGGUCUCGGAGCCAGGGCUGUGGGGUGGAACACACAUAGAAUAAAUUGCAGACACACACACACACACACACACACACGCACACGCAAUGAUGGGGGUUUCCAGCUUACGGUAAGAGGAGAACCGGUUGCGGAGGAGGAAAGGAGGUCAAACAAAAAAAUUAAAACCUCUGGCUCUCUCUCUCUCUGAAAAUGAGAGCCGCGGGACCGGCGGUAGAGAAACGCAGUCAGCCUGUCACUGCGAAUAGAGGCGAGAUUAGGAAACCAUCUUUGAGAAGGCAAUCGGUGGACGCGUUGUUAGUGCCAGACAUGCUAGCCGAAAAAACAGAAAGCAUUAGCGGUCCAGGUUGACCGGGCCGCGAAGCCGGGGGCAAGAAAAGUUGAAUGAGGGUUAGCUGGGUUUCCUUUUCCCCAGCCAGCCAGCAGCCUGCUAUCCAAUCCACCCACCUCCACGCCGGGCCCCAAGCUGACGGACGCUCCGUAGCUGUCCCAGUUCCUUGCCACCGCCCCGGGCAGCACUCCACGUUCCGCCAGACCCCUGGCGGGGCCCAUCAGGGGCACCGCCCCCGCCGCCACUCGGCCAUGCAGCCCGCUGCCUCGGCACACCUCCAGCAGGUGACCCAGCAGACCAAAGCCUGAAAGGAGUGAAGGAAAGAGGGGCGCGAGAGGAGUGGAAAUGGCCUGGGGGGAGGGGGGAUGCUGUGUUUGCCAAUACAUGCGGGAAGGCACGCGCAAAUGGCACCAAGUAUCAAAAUCCGAACAGCCGAGCGAUCAGCGAGGUCUCACUAAGGAUUUGAAAAGAAAUCCCGUAUGUCUGUAUGUGUGAAAACGUGUGUAUGUGCGAGUGUGAUAUGGUGUUGGAAAACAGCAAAGUAAUACACGGAGGUAAUCCCCCAGGGAAAGGGGGGGAAAGACGAACCACGAACGAGUGAAGCUGCCGCCAGGGCAAGAGUGUACCGUAGAACUGACCAAGAGGCGUAAAGGGGGGGGGUACGGGCGGGGUGGAGUCUCCAACGGCGCCGCCGUGUUGUGCUACUGUGCUUGCGGAAAAACGGUGAUGGGUGAGUAGAGAUCAUCAGCGGGAGCCGGGAGGCGUCCUUGUGGGGAAUUGUGUUCACAGCCAGGAUACAGCAAUGAUGUGCAUGUAUGUAUGUACGUCCGUGCAGACGAGUGCGCGUGCGCAUGCGUGUGGAGGGGUGCGCGCGUGUAACUGCUGGGUACGCGGGUGCCUGUAGGUGGAUGAGCACCCCGUACUCUCCGCACGUCCGUACCUGUGACGUCCGUCAUGGCAUGGACCCGUGGGUCAUCAGACAGCUCCGCACCCACGGUGUUGAGCUGAGUCAUUGUCCCAAUCACCUGGAGAAGAGGGAAUGUGCGCGCGCGCGUGUGUGUGUGUGUGUGUGUGUGUGCAUAUGUGUAUGUGAGAGCGGGGUUGUAAUGCACGGAGCAGCAAAAGGUCAACUGUCGAUACGUCCAAAGUGCGAGGGAAGGGGACGUCGCCGCAAUACACACAACAAUGUAUGCACAGCAAUUAACAGCAUAGGAAGGUAUGGUGGCGGGAGGAGGGGUAGCGUCCGGGGUGGAGUCCGGGCAGGCAGGCAGGCGGGCAGUAGCAACUCGGGGAAUACGUGGAAGAGGAGGGGAACGUAGGCGCCGGGGAUGUGUCUCAACUUCCCUAUCGACUUUCCUGGCUGGGACGAGCAAAAUUUUGGAAACACUGCCGCGCGGGUUUCUCAACGAUGGGAGGCGGGAUGUGGAAUGCUGCCGGUCUACCCCCCCCCCUCGUUACAUGCCUUCCCUCCCCUCCCCCAACACACAUUCCUGUUACCUACAUCUUACAUUCAUAAAACUCGAGCUACGCAAGAAGCACUGCACUUCAUUGUCCUGAAACAAGAAAUCAUCUGAGCUCCUCAACUGCUGCUGCACCUGCACCUACUUGGCGAUAACCGUGCUCGUCCAGCAGCCCCUUCUUGAUGGCCGUGGUCAUGGCGCCCACCCCCAGAGGCUUCGUGAGCAGCAGCACGUCCCCCGGUCGGCCGGUGCUGUUGGCUCGGAUGUGGUCGGGGUGCGCCAAUCCCGCCACCACCAGCCCAAAGAUGGGCUCAGGGGAGUCUAUGGAAUGUCCACCUGUGGGGUCGAGAUGGGUGGAUGGGUUCGAAGGAGUUGAGCCCAGGCAUGGGGACCAAAAGGGGGUACAAGGAAGCACAGACAAUUGAUCCCCCAGGGGGAGGUGUAAAGAGUGAGAUGGAGGGGGCUACAUCGCGAGGCCGGUGGGCUCUUUGAGGACGCACCGGCUUUCCCGCAGUCCACAUGUUUCCCCCUCGCUAUACCUUCCCAAAGGUAUAGCGACCCCCUUUUCCCUGGCCCCCCCGGCUAUUCUCUCUCUCCUCCCCAUGCCAGAGCCAUUCACUCCUCCUUCCCCACGGCGCCGUCCACCCCGAGGAGACAUCGCUACACCCGCCACAGCCCUCCCUCUCCACAUUCCCCCACCGACACCAAGCCACCUACCGGCCAGGGGGAUACCUGCCUUCCUGCACACGUCUGCGCCCCCCUGGAUGAUCCUCCGAAUAACCCCCGCGGGCAGCUUGUUGACCGGCAUACCCAACACACUCAGGGCCAGCAGCGGCCGCCCGCCCAUGGCGUACACGUCACUGCGGGGCGGAGUGUGGUGCAUUGGUGGGUGGGUAGGGGCAGGGUGAGAGAGGACAGAGGUAUGACAAACACAUGAGCUACCGGGAUCACCGGACCGGGAUGGGGGAAUUGGGGCGGGAAAACACAGAGGGUGACACACACAUAACACCCGGAGGGUGGGGCAACAGUGCAUGAAAGCCAAAGAGGCAGAUGUCAAAGUUCAGAUAGCACCCGUUGCCUGCUGCUCCUCAGAGUGGAGGAGCUUCGAAGGUACCAGUCCUGACAUGGCGCUGAUGCGGCUGAUGCGGUGAACGCCUCCAUAGCCCUCGCGGCCACCUCUAGCCGACAUAUGCAGGUCGCGGCAUUGCUUCAGGGACCCCCCCGUUCCUUCCCUUCCCUUCCCCCCCUUUCCCCACCCGCGCUCCCCGCCUGCCUGAUGGCAUUAGCCGCUGCCACCCUGCCAAAGUCCCCCGGGUCGUCCACAAUGGGCAUGAAGAAGUCGGUAGUGAGGAUGAGCGCCUGGGUGGGGCUCAGGCGGUACACGGCGGCGUCAUCGCUGGUGGAGGCGCCCACCAGCAGCUCCGGACUGCCUGGAGAGAUAUGGGGGUGGGGUGCGGCGAGGUGCGGGGCGUUGGCGAGUGUGGGUGGGUGGGUGCGGUCGGGUAGGGUGGGUGGGGUGGCGCGCGGGAGUAUGGGGGAUGUAAGAAGAUGGAAGAGAUGCAGAUGGUAGCGUAGGAGCUGAAGGAUUCCCAGCACCAUGUCCUGGUGAGCAGUAUGCUAGUGGUGGUUGAGGGAAGUCAAGAAAGGAAGGGAGCUCCGCCACCAGCCCCAUCGCUGCAUCAACUAUCCCCGGGGAUGGAUCCGUACUGCUUACCAAAGUCGAGUUGCACGUUGAGGAGAAUCUCUUGGAGCUUAGCUGGGGCUAUUUUGCAGCCACAGCCGCCGCCAUGUGACAGCUGCGUCAAGCGGACUUGUGCUCCAGGCUCCGCAGCAGCGCCAUCCGCUGCCGGUGCGCUGCUGGUGGUUGCGUAACCCCUGGCUGAAGCCGAUACCUCGCGGAACUUUCUAUGCCACUGGUGCACUUGCAUCCACUGCGCAAAGGGUCGUCGGGUUUAUGAUGGCUGCGUAACAUGAUUUCCGGUGCUGGAUACUUGGCUAACGAGCUACCUGUGAUGGAAACAACGACGGAUAUGCCCAAUUGUGUUGCUGAGCCCUUAUGUUUGUGCAGAGACGCAGGAGUGACUUCAUGUUGCCUUUCUACGUAAGGAUGCCAACGGCUUCCGGUGUAUUAUGGGAAAUGGAAGUUAUGCGGUAGAACUGGCUGCUCUCAGCUAGAGAUGUAGAAAUCUGUUGUUAUCGCGUUCUGAGUGCUUGCCUCGGUCUUUGUCCGACAAUUACAUUUUUGCUUGGUAUCAGAACGCUGUACAAUUAUUUGAAACCGAAACGCAACCUAUGCCAACCGAUCACGGUAUACUGUUAUUUGACAAUUAGCAUUAUACAUAUCGCUUAAGGGGAUCACGCAUCGCCAACGCCUACUCCGCGAUAAGAGUGAUCACUUCUCCUAUCCCACACCCCUUUCCUGCCGAAAGAUGGGCAGCGAUGACACGCUUGGUAAAGUAAAGGAUCCGCUUGUGGCAGCUGUGCAAUGGCUGAAGACGAGACCAGCCAAGACUAAGGUUGCUCUCGGUGGCCUUGGAGCGGUGUUGCUACUGCUUAUCCUUUGGCGGACUAUCAAGGACCAUGAUACGUUAUUUGUGCUUGCUGAAAUGGCGCAUUUCAUCGGGAUUGGCGUCCUUGGAUACAAGCUCCAAAAGAAGAAGUCGGUCGCGGGUAAGCCUGCUCCACUUCGUCCUAGGAGCGAGAGAUUCCGCACUGCAUGUUGGUUGCCAUGAACAGUACCGCGGGGCAGAGACCUAUGGCUGAGUUUAAAUUCAUCUGGGCGCAGGUCUGUCGCUACAGACGCAGCUGCUAACCGCCACGUUUUUGGCUGUGCGGCUCUUCUGCAGGUAGAACGGUGCUCUUAAGUCGCUUAUUGGUUGGGGUGUUUCGGAUUGCACGGCAUGGGCCUGCGAUCUGUGAGGGGGAGUAUUGGAGGAGGGGUGUUGCGGUUUGACCCGUUGGUCUGGUUCGUUGACUGCGGUUGACGGUGGUUAGGCGGAAUGGUGCGAUGCUCCGCUGAUGUCCAAACGCUGAUUUCCUAACAAGCCCAGUGUCCAGGGGGGAGAGCGAGUGCUUUGGGUCUGGAAGUCGCACCAGUCCCCACACGGCAGAGGUGCUAUCCCUUCCUCCUCUAAGCAGCCACAGCGCUUCUGCGUCUUUGGGGUCGCGCGCAUUUGGACAGUAUCGACCUAAACCAUGGUCUCCAGGCGGCCGCCCCCACCGCCAAUCCGCCAUGUACCGGCCAGAGCCAUGGCCUGGGGCACCUGGUGAUAUGGCUGCACGCCUGCACCUUUGGACAGUCCUGAGUUCUGAUCCCAACCUGACACCGCAUGACUUUAGAGGCUUUAUCAGUUCUUCCCACGACUUAAUGGCCGGUCUUAAACACCCGUCGACGUGAAGUUGUGGUGCCAGAUCGCAUACGUCCAACACGAUAAGAUCUUAAGCGGCAUGCCAGAGGCUUCUCGCACAUCAUCCAUCCCUCUUUUGCCACCCACCCCACUUACCCCUUUCACACUUCCACCCCGUCCCAAUCCAUCCCCCUUCUUUUGACUCUCUGCAGCUUUAUGAUGGAAUACGACAUUCACACGGUCUUGGACGGGCUGACUCUGCUGGCCACCCUGGGUGUGGUGUUUUGCAUGUUGUUCACGGAGAUGAAAGCCAGCUACCAGAAGGAACAGGACGUCAUCAAAUUCUAUUACGUAGUGAGUUAUGGAGGCCGGGUGGCAUUUGGAAAAGGGAAGGCAUUGAGGUGAGGGGGUAUAGGACGAGAAAACUGCCGGCACAAGCAAAAGGAAUAUUUAAAAAACGGGCCCAGACGAUUUGCUAGCAUACCAAGACCUGCAACUGAUCGAUGUUGGCAUGCAAAAGAGCUGCUGAGGGCGGAAGGGCAGCGAUAGCGCUCUGCUGGCGACCAGGUUUUAAUGUCGUGUGAAGUGCUGCACGAGGAAGCCAGGGCUGUGAAGUGGGAGUGGGGAGCAGCGAAGGAGGGGUUUUGGUAGAGGUGAUAUCGUGAUGACGCUGUGAGUGUGCGUGAGGGGUGAUGACCGUAGCCCCGGUUGCCCUUAGGAUUGAAGGGUUGGAAGGCUGGAGGUUCGUAGUCGGAGAGGAAUGAGAGCGGGUACCUCGUAGUGCCCUUUUCCAAAGGUGGUCGAAUGUCCCGUCGUGGUUGACAUCUAUCUCUCUCGGUGUCUCUCUCUCUCCCUCUUCGCGCUGCCUCCGCCCCUUGCAUUGUGAUGGUCAUAUAUUUUCCCUUCGUUUUCGCCGACCAGUUCCCCCCCCCUUGACCCUCCUGACCCGUUGCCUUCUUUAACCCGCAUCCCUAUGUGGAGUUCCUCAGUCUUCUUUUGUGCCAUCUCAGUCCGCUUGUUUCUUCCUCGAACCGUUCUCAAUGACCAUUCCGUUUGUGGAACCUAAUCCGACCCCCAUUGCAGCUGGGUCCCUGUGCGCUGCUGGCGUUCAUCGCGAAGCCCUCCACCUCUCACUACUACCUGUUCCGGGUGAGCCAGGGAGGUGAAGGGAGGUGAAGGGAAAAUGUAGUCCCAGCUGGAAAGUGGAUAGAUGGCCGCAUGGGCGUGCGGUUGGGGCUUCGGAGCAAGCGUUGGUUGGGGAGUCGUUCAUUGGAGUCGUUCAUUGGCAAUUAAGGACUCUGUAUGGCAAGGGGUUUUUGAGGGGGGCAAGGGGAGGAGGCGGAAGAGGGGAUGUGGGAACAGGAGGGUGUGAGGAGGGCUGGCGAACGGAGGAAUGGCAUGUGUGUAUGUGUUCCUGUUGCUCACAUCCCUGCCUAUUGAGUGCAUCUUAAGGAUGCAAAUUCAACCAUUGAAACCGCUGCCACAGGUGUUUUGGGCCUUCUGUGUCUACCUGGAGGCGGUGUCCGUAUUCCCGCAGCUGCGAAUGAUGCAGAAAGCCAAGGUAAGUGCGAGGCGGGUCCUUUCCGGGAGGUUUAGGGGGAAAAGACCUUGUGGCCAAACAUCAAAAGCAGCUGCUAAAAGGCGAGCGUAUGGCGUUUGCGCAGUGCGAAGGCAUGCAAACAACGGGUGGGAGAGGGGGGGACCGGCGAGGGGGUGGUUUUAUGGCACAUGAUACGACGGAAAUAGGUCGUGCCGCGUUCCGAAUUUUCCGUUCCCCGCAUCUUUGCUCUUUGUGGCCUGCUGCCCCCCAAUACGAAGAAGCCUGACGGUCUGGUUUAUUGGCUAUUGCCCGGCUGUAUUGGAUGUGAUACUGGAGACGCCGCGCCGCUCUUUUAACAUAAAAGCCAAAAAUUUACUGCUGUUUGGCUGUUACUGUUGCUGCUGCUGCUGCUUCGACGUCCUGCUUUGUGUUAAGGUGGUGGAGCGCUUCACUGCGCACUACGUGUUCGCUCUGGGGCUGUCUCGCUUCCUCAGCUGCGCGCACUGGAUCUUACAGGUGUGACGGGCACCCCCAAACCCCCCACGGUUCGAAAGGCCUGUCAAGAGAGGCCGGAACGGGUUUGGGGUUGUACUGCUGAGCCCGGAGAGCCGCAGCGAGGGGGGGGUUCCGCAACGCCUCUACUCGCAGCCAUCUGUACGGCACCACAGUCCCAUUCAGCAAUGACACGGCGUGUGUUUCGCAAUGCGUAUUCAUGACGCGUCCCGGGGGGGAAGGGGGAAAGGGGAACGCAGGGAAGGCCAAGAAAGCGGCGGCAGUGGGGAAGGAGGAGGAGGAGAGGAAAGGAGCCAAGCAGGGGCCAGAUUAGGGAGGCGGAGAGGGCAGGAGGUCGGCGAUGGAGUGAGAAUUGGGUUGACAGGGGUGAAAACGCUGGUGACGCUUUUCCGCCUCAUUCGUACUUCCCAUCCUUUUAUGUACGUGGCCAGUCCCCAACGCGGCCCCCAUCUAACCAUUCACUAUCCGUUGUCCUUUCGCCAUUUGUUCCCGUACACGUAUUGUCGUAUUGGCGGCCUCAGAUCCUGGAGGGUAACAAGUACCUGCUACAGGCGCUGGGCAGCGGGCUGUGGCCCAUCAUGGUUCUGGCUUCUGAGGUGGUGCAAACCUUCAUCCUUGCAGAUUUCUGGUAGGGAGGGCUACGUCUUGGCUGACACAGGCAGGGCUGGGGGCAAACAUCGCUUUGAUUGGUGGGGAAGCAAAAGACAGGUGACCAAUGGCUUUAUGGGAACGGAAGGAUUAAGACCUUGUAAUUAGAUGGCUUGGGACGGAAGGGAAGGCAGGGGCUGGGAGCUGCAUUGGGGGACAUGCUGACAACUGCUUGCGGGGAACAGCUGGAGGUCUUCCUCUCCCUCGCAGCCCGCUUGCUGCCGUGACCUGUCUCCGUUGGCCAUGCAUUUCACUUUCGGAUGCCCAUCUUGCACGCCGCUCCGCCAUCGCUGCUCCCUCCCUCCUUUCUGCAACAGCUACUAUUAUGUCAAAUCUUACGCGGAGGGCUCCGGGAUAGUACGUCUGCCCGCCGGCAUCGUCUGAGCCAACCUCGCCGACGGCAAACCUUGAUGUUAGAGAGCACAUGUGCUGUGCUGUGCUUCGCAAUGCGGUGCAUGCAGUAGGGCCACGCGAUGUGCGAGAAGGCAGGUGCGGCACGCGUUAUAUGUUUUCUAGGGCUCACGUGUGUGGUGCGUUCCCUACCGCUGCAGAUGGGGUGUGGGUUUGGAGUUGAUGGUAGAGGUUGUUUGCCUGGUUUCUGGUGGUUUUGGCGUGGCCAGCUGCCAGGCUGUUUGCUUGCAGUGUGGUGUGGCGGCGCAUUGGGAGGGUGAAGGUUAUGGAGGCCGUGUUGUUGAGGCAGUGAUCCUGCAGGCCCUGUGUGCGUGGCGUUGUGGUCGGUUGCCGGGAGGGUUCGUUGCCACAGGUCACGAGUUGCGGCUGAACAAAAUAGGCAGAGCGGGUCACUGGCUGUCGAGUGAAUGUAGUAUAAAGCUCGCGAGUGUGUUUGACGAUGUCGCCCUGUGGUAUAGAUCAGGUUGGAUUACAGAUAGGUGCGUGUCUGAAUGGGGCCGACCUACAAGCCAAUGUAGGAAAAUGAAGCAAGCUAACUGUGUAGCACCUUAUGCAGCAGCCACCGGUGCGCAGUCUCAUAAGUUGGUAGGCAGAGAUAAGACGCCUCAGCCACUGGAAUAUAGCUUGUGUCCUCCACAUACAACAGAAGCGGCGGAUGGGAGCCCCUCCGAUGAUGCAGGCGUGACAUAUAGACGUGGGCACCGUGCAAUCAGAGAUUAUAUAUCUUCAUUAAAUCCCAUUUUCCUGUCACGCACGCAAGGUAGCUGAAAACCUAGCAUAAUUGCGCACGUACUCAUAAUUGCCCUGUCCUCCAUGCGCUGCAUGAACAUCCUUUAGAAGAGCAUGAUGCAAAAUGCUUUUGCCAAACCACCAUUCUGCCGAACCACUUUUGUAUUACCAAAUCUCCGUCUCAUGGGUCUACAAGUCCAUAACCUUAUUAGUUCCACCAUUGCAUGCACGGGCCUAAGUAUUGGACAACGCGCCGCAUCGCUAACGACCGUAGCAGCAUAAGCACACAGCAUAACCCACCGUCUUUGCAGCUCAGACCAUCUUCGCGGUACGUUGAUUAUGUUUCCGGAACUCUGGACGAGUACACACCAUGCCAGCCGCCGCUCAUGCACGUUCACAGCAAAGAAAAGGCAACACAGCAACCCCCAAAUGCACGCGGAAUCGCGCGGUCGUAGAGACUUUCUCACACGAGGCACGCACACAGAAAUCCUGAGAUCGGCCUCCUGAGUUGGCAGAGAUAGGGACGAUAUGUAAGACAGCACUUGAAGAGCAUCAAGAUGCCGCAUUCGGCACGGAACACCAAUUUAAGAUACGGACAAUUCCAUCGCUUAUGCCAUUUAACCUCCAUGCAAAAGGACCGAAGCGAGAAGCGGAUUAAUGGAUUGCUUUCCCGGCGCGCCUAUCAAAGUACGUACUUUCCCAAGGUUUAUUUGGUCCAUUAACAAUCGUACCGCCACAAUUCUACCGAUCUAUCCUACCGACCAAUCCUGCCGACACAAGAACAUGCUGCACACGGUCCUUGCAGUCCAAGCGCAAGCUACCAUUUCAGGAACCUAAACCACGCUAAUACAAUGUCCAUGGCCCCCGGCCUUUUAUGGACACUCCCGCACAUGUAACUUGUAACUAGCUAACAACUACAUUACCACCUGCACCGUGAACGCAGAGCGUCUCUCCCCACGUCCGGCGUAUCAUAUAAGCUAUAUAGCUACAGGGCGUGGCUUCCGGCUGCUGUGGGCCUUAAAAAGUCGGCGCUGCAUCCCCACCCUACACAUCCGAACCCUCAGCCCACCCAACCCUAAGCAGCAGCUGCAGCUGUCGUCCCGCUUCACUGUUGCUGCUGCUGUCCGCCGUCGCCGCCGUUGCUGCUGCUACUCUCCUCGACAUAGACUUACUUCGCGGGUGAAGCCCCUCCGCACCCAUCAAGGUGCCAGACAGCUGACAGCUCCCCAGGGCAACAAGAUGGCCACACACACAACACCAAGAAAGCCAAGAAAUGCACUAUAAGAACCGCCCCCAACGUGAAAGAGCACAGCAGAUAAAAAGUAGAAGAAACCUACAUGCACCGCCGCAGAGACUAAAUACCAUUUUACCAUAGCUACCGGCCUGCAUACUUGCAUGGUUCAUUUGCGCUUCUACAAGCUGCCGCCGCACAAAGCAGCAGAGCACGGAGCAGCAAAAAAGAGAAACCCUCAUAAAUUGUGAAGACUGCCCGACUAUGGGCCGCCUUGCCUUAGCCCUCUCCCUCCUACCUUCCAUCUCUCCCUGCUCUGUUACUCAUGGACCUGCUUCUUCAGGGCUUCGCCAUUCACCUCCUGGUCUACAACCCGAUUCUGAAAACACUCAGGACAGUAACUGUGCCUCACCCUCGUCCUCCUCCUCACAUCACUGGCGCACUGCUGCGCCGCCACUCCGCCACUGCCACAGGACAGAGCAACGGCAACUACUCUCUACUUCGUCCCGUCCCCUAUUGCGGUCGGCUUGUUCUUCAGCUCCGCCGCAUAUGCCAUCAUACCCGCUAGAGCCGCCUGCGUGUUGGCGUCACACGUGGCCAUGAGCUGCUGGUGCCUGGCGGGCAUGUGCUGCUGCAGACCGGAGAGGGCGUCCGCGUAGAACACGAAAGGGUCCACGGGAUCUAUGGGGGUGCGAACCUGCGAAAGACCCAGGGAUGGGUCGCGUGGGAGUGUGGAGUGUGCGUGAGAGAGGGAGAGGCAAGAAAGCGGAAAGAACAAAGGAUAAGUGGGCGGCAACUGCACGGAAUGAACAACCACACGUGCGAUUUAUAUCAACGGCUAUGCGCAGAUGUUGAUCGACGCUGGAAUGGAAGGAAUGACAGUCGUGCCAUGAAGCAUGCUAGAGUAAAACAGGGAAUAAUGCAGCGGGAAAUUCGGAAGAGUUUGGCGAUGAUGCCUUGUGUGCGAGAGGCUGUGAGGCUUUGAGGAUGGGGCGAGAUUUCGACAGGAGGCCGUGUUGAAAUUCGGUUGUGGCCUGACUCCCGAUACUCCCGAAGCAAGUGCUCAGCAACCGCUUUCUAGCAACUGCGGUUCCUUAUUACCCAGUAAGCACAACGCCGUCUACGAAAGGACUUCCUCCUCCCCUCACACAGAGUUAUCCCCACCACCGACCAUGACCGCCGCAAAACCCCCACCUCUUCAUCGUCCGUGAACUCGUCAUCCGAGCCCUCACUGCCAUCGUCAAGGAUAUCCCGGGCCCCUCGUCGAAGAGCCUUGUUCAGCUCCUCGUCGUCCUGGCAAUAAGCAAGAGCAAAAGACGAGGGAGUGGAAAAGAGUGUCACGGCAAGGCAGCGUGGAGAUUAGCUGCACACGAAGAGCGGAAUAUGGACACCCAUCUUCCGGGAGCUGAGAGUCCGGGAACGGUUGUGAAUGGUAUCAAUGAAGCUUAGUGGUUUUUAAUUGAUGGAAAACAUCAAACAAUGGGCCGGGACUGCGCAACUCGUGUAUGUGUACACGUUUGGCCAACAGCGCUAGGGCAUACAGUCCAUAGGUGCUCAAACGCACACGGACACCAACGAGACGCACCUCCUCGUCCUCCUCCCCAACGUCCUCGCCUCCAUCCUCGUCCUCGUCAUCCUCCUCAUCCUCCUCGUCGUCCGAUCCCGCCUUGGCCGCCUCCUCCAUUUCCGCCUGCUGCUCCUUCAGAGCCAGCAGCAGCCGCAUAAUGCCCGCCUGGACCUACAUACCACACAAACCAAAGUAAUGGUAAUGCGCCAAGGAAACAAAAGGGCCGCAGCACAGGGCUGCACAUGUACAUACGUACGAGGGGAGGGAAAAGGAAUAGACAUGGUGAACGUUUUGGGUUUUGGGUUUGGGGUUUGGGGACCCUGAGACUUGAGGAGCCACACACAUUACAUGAUGGGCUGAGUAAAAGCAGAGGAAGAAAUAAAUGGGAAGGGAGGUUUGAGUUGCAGCGCAGCCGGGGAAACAGGUGCACACAGCGCAGCUGUUUGUAUGGCCCUGGUGCAUCAGUAUCAGUGUGCGGGACGAGUGACCAGGGCACAUUGCGGCGGCAAUAUGAGCUCAACAGGAAGUCCGCAGCUGUCAGGACGCCAACCUCGACCUAUAAACCCAACCUCAUAAAAUUUGAAGGGGUUCGAUUCCCCUUUUUGUCCCAUCUAAAGCAUAUCCCUCAGCCCCCAAAGCUCCUCACCUGAGCCAACCCCGCAGUAAUCUCCCCGGGUAGGGCCUCAUCCGGAACCGCCAGCAUCGACACAAGGCCCAACACGCAAACUUUCUUGUCGUGCAUGCGACGAAAAUGCUUCGGCUUGCCCGACUUCUUGUUGGCAAAAAUGGCGGCAAACCACGCCGUGAAGAACUGCCCCACGACGCCCAUCUGGACCAACACACUCAGCGCCAGAGCGGCGUUGUAGUACAGCGCGUUCGCGACCACCAGGACGAGCGCGUCCUGCAGAUUAUGAUAGGUAGGUUAGCAGAAAUACAAUAACAUUAUCAGCACAGCGGAUAGGCAGAGAAAAAAGCAGCAGAUUCGGAAAAGAAAUGGGGAAAUGUGCGCAUUAUAAUUUAAGGAUACGAUCGGGAAAUUCAAUUGGACAUAUGGAUACACAAGAGGUCGGUGAAAAAGCGGAUAUACUUAAACGUGCCACAUAAGGUACUCAGAUGACAUAUAAGCGUACAGACAAGUCACAAGAAGAAGAUUCAGCUCCUCGCCAGGUACAGCAACAUACCAAUUCCCCAAUCUACCGCUGUAUGUAUAUCAGCGCAUUUAUCAUUCCGGUAAAUCCCCCCGAAAGCAUUCCCACCUUGAGCGUGCGGUUGGUGGCGGUUUGUAGCUUCCCCAACGCCAGCUGCAGGUAGGGACCGACCCACGGGUCGACCCUGCCGCGGCAGUUCUGCAACACCACCUCCAACAAUCUGACCGCUGGCACCACAUCGCGCUCCCCAAAGUCACCCUUCAGAGCGCCCUGCACCAUGCCGAACAGGCUGGCGCGGUAGUCGGGGGUAGUCGAGGAGAGGAACCGCUCCGGGUCCCGACUGAUGAAGUUGUCCAGAGGCACCUGCGAACAUUAGACAGAUACGAUAACAUGUGGGCGGGCCGGGAGAGCAGACACACACACAAACAAGAAACACACACACACACAUACAAACAUGGGUCAUAAACAGCUCAGGACAGGACGGGUCAUAUGACCGGAAGGAACGGAACAGAUGACAUCCAUCAAGACAGGUCACCGCAUGCUUGGGCGGAUAGACAGUUAGGGUUAAGAGGAGGACACAGGUAACGACGGGGAAAGACUGAAACGGGAGAGCACGAAGCACGAGGUAGCGUCCCCCCGCCCGGUAAGCGACAAUUUGUUACCCAUAGACCCCCAAGACGCGGAAGUAAAUACACCCUCUCUAAGUCUCCAAGAACUGGGUUGAACCAAAAGUAAGAUGGCCACACGAGACGCUUCUCCACGAAUUGCCCGCCACCCUUCCCGCACUCACCCCAUGCACUGUUUCCUCUUACCUCUUCUCUUCCCCCCGCCUACACACACAUCCUUCUCCCCCACCCACCAGGAUGUUCUCCCAGUAGUCCACCGCCCACUCGUUGACCGCCGCCUCAAUCUGGGGCCAUAGGGCCCACAACCUCUCGCUGAUGGACUGGCCAUAGUACGUCAAAUACGACAGCAUCUCCAGGACCUGUGUACAGCAGGCAACAGGUAGAGUAGUACACAAUCAGAAAACGACGACAACGAUAACAACAGUGCCAACAUCACCACCACCCCAGCAAACCUGGUCUGCAGAUAGGCAAACGAAAUGACCGUCGGCUCGCCCAAGUGCCGACCUUUCCCCUUUCUUCCUCCUUCCCUCACCCCCUCCCCAAACCCCCAAACCCGUUUCCCGGCGCCCCCUCCCAAAAAAAACAAACCCUCGCUUGGCUCACCUCCUCAAACACAUCCUGUCCCUCCGUGGACAGCAUCCUGUGCAUCAGCGGAUACAGCACCUCCUCCAGAGAGGCAACCAACGCGGGCUGGUCGCUGCAGCUCUCCAGCAACGUGUUCAGGGCCCGCAUGCAGCCAAACGCGGCAAUGCCAGCUGCAACGAGGGACAAGUGGGGAAGCGCGUGAGGGUGAGUGCGGGGGCGGAAGGCGGAAAAGGGAUAAGUUAGAACGGUAAAAACUGGAGUCCUGAAUGCGAAGCGGGUAGGAGAGAUAGAGGACUGGGCAGAGUAGCGACGGGCAGAGAAAGCCCACGCGAAGCCGCGCGACGCUACACCUCCCACACCAAACUACAACAACAACAACAGCAACAACAACGAUGCAAUUGAUAUGGCCACCACCAUGCCACUGACGCAUGUCCUCAUGGCGAUACAGCGCAGGUGUGCAUGUGCACACACACGCAAUAUCACACACACGCAGGAGAGACCACAGCCCAGCAACCUAGUACCCAACCACCCACCCAGCCACCCACCCGUAUCCUCGUCGCCCUCAGCAUCCUCGUCUGCCACAGCGCAGUACUUCCAAAACGCACUCGUCAGUUGGGAAGCCAUCUGUACGGCGUACGGCCCGAUCUUGUCCCCAAACUUGUCCACCAACACCUCCAACGUAAACACCAGGUCCUCGUUAUCAACCUGCGCGCGCCGCACGCGUGAGCAUCCAAAGAGUGACGACAUGCCAGGAGCCGUUCAUCGUAUAUGCGGAAGUUGGUUCCAGAAAACACAUGGCGAUAUGUGUAAUAGCGCAGCGGAGUGAGCGAGAAUGAAGAAAAUCAUUUCACGUGGAACGAGAGGUUCGGUUCAGCAACUACCUGACAGAGUAUUGGAAGCAGGUUUGGGGCUGCUCGGCCCGUAACUUCCGACAACCCUACAGUGAAAGCCCCAAUACCCACUCGGCAACCCCCUUUUCCCCUCCCCUCCCCUCUCCCCCUACCCCUCCUUCUCCAGGCCCACCGGGUACCCCCCCACGACCCGCCCCGACCUGGUUCAUGAGUCCGAAUAUGGAGUUCAGUAGCUGGGGCAGUGCGGGCGCCACGGGCUCCACAUCCUCCAUCUCCUCCAGAAAGUGACGGAGGGACACCACCGCGUCCACACGCACCGGCAGCUCGGGGUCGCCCAAGCAGCGGGCGACCUGGGGGAGGGACAGAGAGAGAGAAGUACAGCCGAGGAGGGAAAGAGAGAGAUAGAGCGGGAAGGAUAGGGAAAGGAACAUGAUGUCGAGCAGAAGGGGGGAUCAUACCAUGAUGCAAGAAACUCAGAAACGAACUGCUGACGUCCAAAGUCCGAAAAAAAACACCACUGGAAUCCCAAGCGAGUAGAGGGGGGGAGGCGGGCGGGCGAGAUAUAAGGUGAAAUAAAAGGAUAUGGUGGUGAGAAGUUCAUGGGUCCGACGGAAAAGGACUGGCUCAGUCCGGCGAGUGGGGAUAUCUACCCCCGCCACUACCAACUCCGUGCCUACCCGCCUUUUUACAGCACACGCCCCAAAACUCAUUCCCUGCCCAAAACUCAUUUCCCCCCCCAUCCACCCACACCCAUUCAUCUGCACCAGCAACCCUUUGCCAUCGGCCCCAUGGCCCCACCCGACCCAACAAUACACCUGCUCAAAGAAGCGCAUGUAGGUGGGUCCCCGGUUGGUGCCGUCGGGGAACGUCGUGUCGCAAAACACGCCACUGACCCACACCGCCUUGGAACGAAGGUGGCCGUGAGGCGAAGUGAAGCACGGCAUCACGUACGUCGCCAUAAUGGGGCCAAGCUGGUCCUUGUACGGCUUCUGCAUUGCAGUACAACACAGUACAGUUCUUUUCAUGGUACCUGUGCGUGGAUGUGCAUGACAGCAUGGCAAACAAAGCACGGAGCAAAGCUAAACAACAACAACGACGACGCAAGGGCGUCAGAGAGCCGAUCCAGGGAAAGGUCAACAAGGGAUCGCGGCCUCAACCUCUCCCUCCCAGAGCCCAUCCAUCCGCAGCCCUCCUCUCCUCCCCUCUCCCCCCUCCCCGAAGCCCAUCCUAACGCGCCCCGUAACUCCCACUUUCAAAGACACACAGCGAAUAGGGAGAUUUUUCCCCACAUUCCCAUUGCUCUACCCCACUAAAGCCUCAUCACCACUCUGAAACCCACAGCAACAACUCAACAUAACACACAUUUCCCCGCCCACUUCCACUGUCAUGUACUCACCUCACCUCACCCACCCAUCCCAGCCCAUGUUUACACACGCACACAGACCCCCCUAGUGCUCACCUUGGACUUGAGCAGGGGCGCCAGGCAGCCCACCGCCAGCAACGCCCCGUCCACCCUCCGCGCCUCCGCCACGGUGGGCACUCCGCCCUCUCCUACUGUACGACCAAAACCCGAAAGCAGCCCCGCCACCAGGCUCAUAAAAGCAUCCAGAUGAGAGCGCUUCUUGCUGCACAGGUCGUGAGCAAAGUUGGCUGCGGCAGUUUUGGGCGAGUACAUGUCCUCGAGGAUGUCGUAACCCUGACGAUCAGGAGAGAGGUGGCGCGCACAAAACGACAUCGUCGAGGGGGUUCAGCACGAGGAGUUGAAAUGGGAGUUGAAAUGCGUGUGUGGCGCUUAGUAGCGCUUGGGGGCGGGUCCCUUGUGCAUAUCACUUACCCCCGUUACGUUACCACCCCUACCUUUCCUUCAAAACUUGCCAUCCCAUUAACCCACCCUUCCCCUCUACCCCCUCGCCCUCCCCUCCACCGUUGCUUUUGCAAAUUCCCCUCCGCCUCCGCCUCCACCUCCCUGCCCCACCCCCCCAGCACCUUGCGGAUGUACUCCUGGGGGUCCUCCGCCCACAACCUGGCGUCCUCGUCGUUGAAGGCCAUGAGCGGGAAGGCCACGUGGUGCAGCAGCUGGUCCCAGGAGGAGCCCACUCGCUUGUAACACGAGGGCAGGUUGACCGCGUGGCUCAUGUACUGCAUGCGGUCAGGUGUGGUGCGGCGGGAUGAAGGUGUGGCGCGGCGGGGAAACAAGCGACGUUGACACAAAGUCAACAUUAAUGUGUCUUGAACAAUAUUAUUCACAGCACUGGAGAAUGGCGAAGGUAAGGCCACGAAGGAAGGCUCAUGUACCGCUCAAAUUAGACACGCGGAGGGGGGGGGGAAACACGGUGUCUUAUGACCCACUUCUAUGACCCACGCCCCGGCCCUUUGCUUGGGCGGAGGCACUCAUCCCUUUCCCCCCCAUCCUUGGCGCCACGGGGCACCGUUCCCAAUCCCACUUCCAUCGACUCACCUGGAACAGCAGGUUGGUGCAGCGGGGGCUGAAGUACGUCCCCUGGGCCAGCUGGGACAUAAGGCCCAGGUGGGCAUCCAAGAAGUGCAUCAUGCACUCAGACUGAGGGACAAAUGAAGCGGCGGGAGGUGAGAGAUGGAGAGGGACAUUGUAGACGUGAGAGCAGGGGAGGCCAGGAGAGGGAGGGGCCAUGGCUGGGUCGGUGGGUCGGUGGAUGGUGUUAACCUUUGGGCUUAAUCACAAUUUCACAAAACCAAACCUAACGCGACCCACGUAAUGUCGUGAAAAUAAUAUCAUGAUUGGGGUUUAGGUUUAUAAAAGGUAUGGGGAUUUCAUGGGGAUAAGUUUCAGGUCUUGAACAGCCCACAUGCCUACCGCACUCCUCUCCUUUACUCUGCUCCUUACUGAACACCCGUCCUCAAGCCUUACUACUCCUUCACCCCCUCUCUCCUCCACUCCUUCACAUCGACCUCACCGCGUACAGCUCGGCAAACGGCUUCUCCGUGCCAUCGCGGCAGUUCUUCGGCUGACCAUACCUGCACCGGGCGGGGGGGAGUGGGGGCGCGCAGGGUGGGGGAAGAAAGGUUGAGGGGGGAAGUCGGAGGUAUGGGGACAGGCGGCAGGACGUUCGUGCGUGCACGGUUAAGCGUGUGAACGUGUGCCAGGCAGACAUCCGCUUACAUGGGAAGGCUUUAUGAGCUUGCAAAUGAGCACAUGCACCUGUUGCCAAGGUGCGUGCCUACCGCAGAGCAUACGCCUCUCCACGCAUUCACUCAUACCCACAUACCAUCUGGACUUCAAGGACGGUGGGUGUUUGUCGUAACCCGUCACCCCCCCCACGUAAAUCAUAUUAGAAUUACGAUGAUGAGAUUUUACAUCCUUCUAGCACUUACAUACAUACAUAUAUACUUACAUACCUAUAGGACAGGUAUGUAGUCAUAUUCCCGUAUACACACGCAUACAUAUCUCACCUGUUGUACAGACGGUAGGUGAUGUGCAGCACCCACUUCUUGGCCUUCCACCAAGGGGCGGCGGGCCGGUCGUUGGGGUCCAGGGAGGCGACAUCCUGACGCAAGGAAGCGGAGGGGGCGAGCGGCUAAGACAGCCAAGCAAAACAUCCGACCCAUUCUCCAGACCAACAACGUGGAAAGUAGUUCGUAUUCCAAUGGGUUGGGAGGGACUUCAUGCAUGAGACCUCGGACUCCGCUGAAUACCUCCGUGCAGAUCCGGCGGUGCGCUCCACUCUUCCUCCAAAACGCUAAAACCCCAUCCCUCCAUCCAGUCGGCUCACAAAAGGGAGCCCCUUUGUGCGCCCCACAGCCGUCCCAAACACAUGCACAACAACAUAGUGGAUGCGCUCCCCAGCACCCUCCAACCAACCCAACCCACCGCCCCGCACCCACCGCCGGCUCCGCCUGGGUCAGUGCGGAGUGCAGGGCGCCCAUCCAGCCGGUGAAGGUCUCCGGCUCCAGCAGGGCAGCAGGCACACCCAUGUAGGUGGACGACCAAAACGUCUUACAUACCAAUUUGAUGUAACCGGAGAUCUGGUCCAAGGGAAAAAAUCCCAGGGAAAAAACACAGAUUCAUAGGGGUACGGGGCGCGGGAGCCCGGAGAAGAUGAGCGGGAUCAGGGCGUUGGAGAAAAACCAACCGGACCUUUACACAGAGGCUUGAUAUCUUAGCCCGGCAUGUAUGUAUGAACGUGAAUAUAUGCGUUUGUAGUGGAUUGGCUUCCCCUUUUCACAUCAGAAGGACAAGGCUCACACGCUCAUGCGCAACCCGCAAACCCCUCCCCCCCCUCCAUGCAACCGCACUCCCGCAACACCACGUGCCCCACUGUAAAGAGGGAUACCCAAGAUACGUCCCCCCCUCCCCUAGAAUAGUGGAGUACUCGACUCUGAUCUGUCGACACACGCGCCCACGCACGUGCCAAACAACCCUUCAUGACAUCAUGGCAUCACCAUCGGCAUACAAACCCAGUGCCCGUAUCCAACAGCACAUUUUCGGCAUACAAACCCAGUGCCCGUAUCCAACAGCACAUUUUCACACCUACAUACAUACCUGCGCACUGGGUGGCGCCGCCAGCAGCUGCCUAAAGAUGUGCAGCAGCAGCGGGAAGGCGGUGGUGAUGAUUCCCUCCAGGGGAGCCCGCUCCUCCUCGUCACGGAAUUCGUACUUGCGAGCCAGCAGCCGCAGAGCCAACAACCCCCCGUGGACACGGCUCUGGUCCUGUAAGGCGGAUGUUGGCAAGGGGAAUGGGGGGUAGCGUUAGCGUUGGGGGGGCAAACGGUGCAUUAGUUCAUGACAUACGGAUAAAAGCUGUUGCAGACAAAGGUCGUGUAGAAGCAAAAAAAGCAAAAGGUUAACACCGCACCGUACCUACGCCGUACCUGCGCCGAGAGGUUGCCGUACAGCGCCUGCAGCAGCCCCGGCCACUGCUCGGGGUAGUCGCAGUAGACAAUGAUCUUGAACACCUCGGACAGCUGAGACUGAAUGUUGUGAGGAGCACUGCGGGGCAAGAAAGAAAGAAAGAGCAAAUAUUGAAGGACCAAAUGGCAUCAGACGCUCUGUCUUCUUGCCUGUUUGUGGAGCGACCCAGAUCCACUCGUUCCCAUUUUCUCUCCCUAACCUUCCACCCUCGUCCACUCCCGCUUGAACAGAAUUUCUCUUCACAAAGAUACGGAACACGAACUUCGAUGGCCGGCGUCCUCCCCCUCCCUCCCGCCCCCUCCCCGGCCCAACCCCACACGCACCCUACCUCACCCACCGGAUCAUAGCCUCCAGGAUGUUCUGUCGAACAACCUCCUUGUCCGAGUCCGGGAUGACAUACUGCGUUGAUGUCCCGCCUGAUGAUGGGCGGCAAGGAGCCAAGACAUUCGCGGCUAAGGCUAGGUCGCAGUAACGCAACCCCAUAACAUCAGGGCCCCUUGAAGUUGAAAACUGCGGUACCAAAACGCCUUAAAGGCCUAACGCUAAAGGGCUAACGCUUCCAUUCGCCGUAAUACCUAAACAAAAAGGCCUCUCCUGGCAUGUAAAUUGAUUGGGUGCAGAUGCUGGUCCGGUCGGAUCACCUAUUAAGCUAACUCCAAUAACCCCCCGCGGUCGAGAUUCUAAUUAUUUAUGGAUCUGACAGUCCAGGAAACGCCAAUGCCAGAUGGUGGACUGCUGUGGGGCUUGGGGGGAUGCCUUCCCAAACCCCGCAGUACCUGUUCGCACGCAAGCCCAUCGAGAUGUUCUUAUGAACACCCACGCAACCGCAUGGCAUUCUAUAGGGCAUGGUGUGGCGAGCAGAAACUGCUGGCAUAAGCGGGUUUUACAUGUAAGCUUUCAUACCCCUCCUCCGUAUGCAGCAUUGACACAUGGUGGGGCCCCGCCAAGGCGGAUCUCCGUGGGGAAAGCAUAACUCGCAAGAUAAAGAGAUGUGAGGGAGGAAGGAAAUCUAAACACCAUCAGGGACCCUUACUGUGGGCAACGUCCGUGCUGCGAUGAAAAACCCAACACGAAUCAAGCCGAGACUGACCGCCCGUUGUAUGCCAAGCAUACCUUGCAGAGUUUCAUGCGCUUCUGACUUAUCCCAACUCCGCUUUACAAAGUUUUUAAAGUUGAUGGCUGCCAUAUGCCGGACUCCCGCAUCGACUGAUUCCUCUGCUGCCACGCGCAAGAGCUGCACGGCCUGUCCCGGCAGCUGCUCAUGCUGCAUAUUGAUCGACAAAAGCGCGGUGCAUAGGGUGCAUCGUCAAUACAGGUAAUUUCUGAGGAUUUAAUUGGCGGCAGUUGGCGGCGCCCAGCCCAACGGGGCAAGCCAUACCUGCUUUAAAACCCGCUCCGCCUCCUUGACAUGAUUUUGAUCAUGACUUAGACACGCUUGCAAAACUGGCAGCAGCGCCUGAAUGUCCAUGCUCCCUUUCCAGGUAAAGCAGCAGGUUCAAGGUCCGUCAGAAACAAUAAAAUAGGCCCAAAUAAACUAGAAACAAAGUAUACAGGUUUAUGCUGUGGAGCCCUUACUUUAUUAUGAGCAAGGAGGAAGGCAGCGCAAUGAAUAGCGCUUUGAAACGGAGCCGAAUUCCACGCCGGCUGUCGCACCCUAUCUUUAUCUGGGGUGCUGUUAUUUCACUGACGGCGACAACACGUGUAUUACUGGACGGCUAGCCUGUUACCGUACCUUUAAAGUGUGUACGUCACACGGCCAGGAUCCCGCAGCCCUUGUGCCCACCUCGCAAAGAAAAUAAAACUUACAAUUGCAACAAAGCAAGUACUUCAAAUCCUGUGGUGAUGCUUACGGUCUUCCCUUUGCUUAAGUAUCCGCAAAUAACCGGUUGCCGUGGGCUGCCAUUCAGCCGGGGUGGUUCGUCGGUGCUGGCGGGGACCCAGCGACAAGUGACCAUCAUGAUUCUGAACUCAACGUGAGGAGAACUUGGGAGCAGCUUGCGCUGUGAGGUGCACGCAGCAAAAUCACCCAGGUCCAUCGCAACCUCCGCACAUGGCUUCUGGACGUGUUCCCGCAUUUAAGACCGCAAGCUCGCUCCAUUCCACGUACGUCUCCUCCCUUCAUAAGGUUGCUACUUGAGGCCAUGGGUAACGUCCAUAUGGGGUUUACGGAGGCAAGCACUCCUGGCUGCCGUAUCUCAGACGCUCUUCCUCGACGAGUGAACGGGUGGACGACGUAUGCUUUAAUCGACCAGAGAGAAUAUCCUGAGCAGACGCUGAUUGAUGAGGAUUAUUUGAAGUAGAGCUUAAAGGGUCAAAAGCCAGCGUCAACCUCGCGAACGAGGGGUAUGGUAUGGUUUUGUUUGCAUGCCGGGGAGAGCAAUUCUCACACCCGAAAAAUAGCUGUGAAGGACAACUGCUGGGCCGCGCUUUGGACACGUCCUGCAAAUCGGACUUCCCUCGGAAGGGAUUAGGGGAAGGUCGGCCAAAACAUCUUCCACAUUUCAGGAGAUACUGAUGGCUGCUGAAUUGGCUGAAGAUGUGUGACAGCUCAUUGUUGUUGCCUUUCGCUUGCAGCGUGGCGAUGGUGGUUGUGCCGAGACGGUUGGUCACUGAUAGCCUUCUGAAGUUUUCGUUAAUUGUCUAACCCACGCCAAUCUGGUAUACGCUGGACCCAUCUGACAUAUUGCUAAAAAAAUUGCAGUAUCCUUACAGGCCUGCAUUGAUUUGAAAGCCACGCAAAGGCAGCUUUGCAGGAAAACGGCAUCACAUAUCUCUUGCCACUCCAUCCUGAAUACGGGCGCUAGUUUAGAGGCUCUUUAGUUUAAAACUACCUCUUCGACCAUCUCCUGUUUGUCAAGGCAUCCUGUUUGUCAAGGCAACAGCGACACACAACCACCGUUCGCAGUUCGCAAAAUGGUCGCAAUAUCGCAAUAGCAUCAUGCAUAUAAAUGACAUAGUUACCCUCAUCGGGGUCGCUUGACACCCACGACCUAAACGCGCUGUGGCUUUUGUCGCUCCUUUGUGCCGCGACGCCUGCCGCACACAUCACAUCAUCCUUCACACAUUCAUCGCAAGUGGCAAAGCACUACUUCAUGUCGCAGCCUGCAGAAACUACCGGACAGGACGGCCUCCCUUCAGGAGGGCUCGUCACGGGUCUUCCAUCCACCGCACCCCAGGCCAUUCCCCCCAGCGGACACAUUCAAUUCGACCCUGCCAUGACGCAUCUACUGUCCGGCAUCGCAGCCCAGCUUCAAGCCGCUGCAGCCGCUGCCGCAUCAGCCUCCCCUGCUGCAGGACCCGCCCAAGUUGACCCGCCCCAGCCACAACCCCAGACAGCCGGAACUCCCCAAGCAGCAGCACCACAACCACAGUCACCACCUUCUACCUCGCCGUACGCAGCUCCCGACGGCCUAGCCUUGAAACCGGAGGCCGUGCCGGCUUUUGGCGGACUGGGUGGACUGGGUGGCCUAGGACUAGAUUUAACCCACCCUGGACCGCCUUUGCUGGCCUGUCCUUCAGUCCCAGGCCCCGGCCCGGGCUUGACACCCGGGUUUGGAGGGGGCUCAACUCUUGCUGCUGCUACUGCUGCUGCUACUGCUGGUGGUGCAGCGACCGUUGCUGCGACUGCACCCAAGUCCGCAGGAGCCCCAUUCGAUCCGGAGGCGUUAGCGGCGGCUCUUACCGCACGUAUGAGCGCAGCCGGGGCGUCCAUCAUUUUCGAGAAGGCUCUGACUGCGAGCGACGUCAGUGGGGGCGGCAGGGUGGUGGUGCCCAAGGUGCGCCAGGGCGUGCAGGAGCCUGGUGCUCGGGGAGUGGGGCGACGAGGGGGAAGAAGGGAAGCAGGGGAAGGGUGGGAAGCGAUAAAGGAGUUCGAAACACAGACCGAGCGCGAGGGGAAGGGAGGGGAAGGAAGGGGAAGAAGCUGACCGAGUCGGAUGAGGGGGGUGGCGGCGGCAGGGCGCCCCGGGGCCUUAAAGAAGGUGAAGGUUGGAGCGCGACCCAGAUCAGCUUAGGGACCCAGAUCACGGGCCAAGCACAUCGCGACCCCAUCUUGCGACUGGCUCAGGGAGGUCAACACUAUCCACCCAAAUCGACACCAUCAACUUCCAUAUUCUCCUUUCUCAGUCCACCCCCUCGUUCUCUCUUCCAGCAACGUCCUGUGUUUCUUUUUCGCUCCCUCCCCCUUCCCGUAACGCUCUGCUCCCAGUCCAUUGCCGAGCAGUACUUCCCCAAACUGGAGCAGCCCAGCGGGGUCACCAUUUCCGCGACCGACUUGGACGGCAGGUCGUACACAUUCAAGUGGAGGUGCGCGGGGGCACAUGGGCACAUGGGGACAUGGGGAUGUGGUGCUUGGACGGGGUAUCGCUCGUAAGCAGGACACGCAGUGAGGAGCUCCCUGAGAUGAGAGGUCUGUGCAGCGCGUGAUGUGAGGGGGGUUUAGAGGGGGGUACGACGAAGCACAGACGAUUGUCGAAAAGGAAAUACCGAUGACGGAUAGGGGUAUAUGGGGGCCCCACUGGGGUUGUUAGGAGGUGACGGGCCAGGAGGUAGGGGGUGUAGGGGCGGGCCUGGGUAGGGGCACGGAAUGCGAGCCAAGUGGAACCGUGGGCAAGUACGACAUCACCCGGGGAUGCCGUACUGUGCCGCUCACCAGAGUGAGGUGCCUCGCCUGGACAGCCCACGGGUUUGUUUGGACCGUACGAGCUCCCGAGGCUUGUAGUAAUCCGUACAUCCGUACAUCCAUCCGGUGCGUUUUAAGACGGCAGGAUCAGGAGCUGAGGGCUCCAGUGGAACAUGGCGAAAUUGGGGCGAUGGACGUACAUACAUACAAAAAACGUACAAGAUGCCAUCGCAAACAUGCGUAGUUCCUGGCCGUCUACCUUAAGAAGACGUAACCUUACCUGAAGUAGCUUCAUGAGUCCGCCCCUUCGCCCCUCCUGGAAGGUUCUGGGUCAAUAACAGCAGCCGCAUGUACCUGCUGGAGGGAGCGGGUGAGCUGCACAGGAACUACGGACUGGAGGUGAGGUGUGCUGCGGGGUGGCUGGGCAGGUAUGUGGUUAUCUGGCAUGAUUGGUGGUCGGGUGGGUGGGGAGGGGUGGGAGUGGAAGGAGGUGUGUCUGGGUUGCGUGGGGAGAGGGGACGAUUGUUACAAGCUAUUGCAGCUAUAUCGCUGCGGCUUUCACUUGUGGCUGGAUUUCCUAGAAGCCUUCCUGAUUACGAUUUUUGCUGCUGUUGUUGUUGUUGUUUUGUUGUUGUUGUUAUUGCUGUUGUUACUGUGUUCUUGCUGCUGGUGUGAUUUGAUGUGAUGGUUGCGAUAUGCGCAGGUGGGCGACGUGAUGGUGUUCGCGCAGAAGGCCGACGGCUCACUGAUGGUGGCGGGCAGGGCCGCAAGCAAGGUGAGGAGAUGUGUGUGUGUGUGUGUGUUACGUGGUUGGUGGGUGCGUGACCCCAUACCUGUAAAACUCUACCCAUACGAGCCAAAGGCCCAAGGAGAUGUGGACGGGGAGCCAGGCACGGGGCAGGGGGCACGGGGACGGUUCACUUGGCCUGAGGAUUUGUUAGGUGCCGUCUUUACGGGUGUUUGUCAGAAAGGCGCCACUAGCACACGGGCCCUAAGGGCGACAGCAACACGAGCGAAUGCUUGAGGGCAGGGACAGGGGACAGAAAUCUGUACAGCACGACUCUGGCUUCCCGCACCCCCUUUCGUACUUGACCCUUUUCCAACUUUGUUGGCUGGCUGGGUGGUGUUUUUGCCGGUGGUGGUGGUGAUGAUGAUGAUGAUGAUGAUGGUGGUGGUGGUGGUGGUGGUGGCCGUCUGGACGGCUGGUGGUGAUGGUGAUGGUGAUGGUGAUGGUGAUGAUGGUUUGUGGGAGCCCAGUCCGAUCAAGUGAAGAGGCCACCCGCAAAGCGCCCAGCUACAGCAGCUGUUGCCGGCGGCUCCAGUGGUGGCGGUGGUGCAGGCGCCGGAGGAGGAGGAGGAGGUCAGGCGCCUCGCAGCCGCGACGCGCGAGCACCGCGCCCUCGUCCAGCUGUGGCUGCAUCCGCUGGCGCGGCAGCGGAGGGCGCAGCGGCCGCGGCCGCGGCGGCGCAGCCGAUCCCUGGGCGCCUGACGGCCGGCGGCGGCCCUAGUACGGCAGUUGCUUCCGCCGACGCCAGCCUGUUGCGUGGUGGCGGUGGUGGCGGACGAAAGCGGAAGGUCUCCUCCUCCGCAGCAACAGCAGCAGCAGCGACGGGGGCGGCGGUAGGUGGUCUGGCCGCGGACCCCACCCGGUUUCGUGUGCGGCCUGGCGAUGAGGGGCUGACGUCGCUGGCAGUGCUGGACAUGGAGGCGCCCUCUGACGGGAUAUUCCGGGUGCGUGGGGAGGUGGAGUGGGGGGAUGGAGUGGGGGGGUGGUAUGUGGGGAGGUGGAGUGGGGAGGUGGAGUGGGGAGGUGGAGUGGGGAGGUGGAGUGGGGAGGUGGAGUGGGGAGGUGGAGUGGGGAAUUGAGGAUGUGGUUGGGGAAUCAGGUGGGGGCUGCCGACCACAUGUACGUACGCACACCCACACGCCGACACUAUGUUGGUGUUGUGGCCCCCACGGUGCGCCCGUGGUGUACUGUACUGUACUGUACUGUACUGUGUUGGCAAACCCUAAAGCCGCAGCUGUCUGUGUCCAUGGAAAGGUACGCGCAACCCAAAGCCAACCUCCGUAUUUCCUCUCGCUCCGCAACCCAUGACCCAGAGUAUCAGAAGUUCUUUUGAGCUGACUGCCGGGAGGUGGGGCCAUGUUUUUGUUUUUUUGCAGGGCGAAUGGGGGUGAUACUUAUUUCCUCCGACCGCUUCCCUUUCCUUCUCCUUUCUCAGGCGGUGGUGCAGCACGUGUCGCCGGUGUCCCUGGGUGUGGCUCUGGCCCGCAACAACCGCUGGACGGCCACGCUGGAAGUAGCUGGUGAGGGCGGGUGGAUCAGCGGGUGGCGGCCACAGUGGAAAGCUGAAGAACUUCGCCUCCACCCCAGUCGUGCACAUCAUGACCCCAUUCGGAUUUAUCCGCAAGCCAUUGUCCCAAUGUUGAAGUUAGAAAGAAGAAAAGUCGAAAGAAGUUAAAAUGUUAGCUUGAUCUAACCCCCAACGCCUGCACGCGAUUAUUGGAAUCUGAUUCUACGAAUCUUAGAACCAGACGCUUAGAGGCCGGAAUAUCACGCUUGGAUUUUCCGUGUGUAGACGGGUAUUUGCAUGUAUGCCCCUUCCUCGCCCCUGCCGUGCUGCCCCAUCACUGUUCCACCACGGUCCCGCCAAACCACACAACACAACACCACAACAGAUCACAACACGUGGCGGUACAACACCACACCAAACAACAUCACAUCACACCACGCCUGGCGCCCAACACCCUUUCGACCCCCAGGCGAGUUCUACCAGGCCUUCUUCGACUCGCGGGAGGAUGCGGUGGAGGCGGUAACGGCGGCGGGGGCAUCUCCCUGAGCAGGACAGGGAAGUGGGAGAUCUUGUUCAUUCUCCAUGCCGUGGAGAAUGGACACAGGGCAGGAAGGACGGGUCCUGGAGGAGUAAGGAGCCUGGAGGAGCAGAGGAUAAGCGUGAGGAUGAGCAGGAGGGCAACGGCAGGAAGAUCAGCAGGAAGGGGAGGAGGAGGAGUUGAGGGGCAGGGAGUUGUCCCCGCCAUAGGCCGUACCGAAUGGUGCAUGUUGACAUAUCCUCAGAUAGUCGUGUGUUGGCUGAUGACAGUCCAACGCUGUUGCACUUCAGGACUGCCGAAGAGGCUGUUGAGGUCAUCGUCCAAUUUGUGCGAGCAGCACGUUGGGUGACUGAAAGAGUGCUUGGAGCAAGCGUCGUUUUUGUGCGGCAUGUUAUGCGUGUGAUGAGGGCAGCAGGCCCUAUGGGCCCGUAUGGCAAAUCUCGCCCUGCAGAGGGCGGACGAGUUUUCUGCAUGCAUGACCGUACAAAAAGGAAAAGCUGCAAACCUCCGUUCGGCACUAAACCCAAACAAUCCGACGGUUUAGGGUUGAGGAGUUAAAAGUUCUAUCAAAGGAUCUCACAUUUCUACACAGCCUCCGGUACAAGGGAAAGUUGUUUUGAGUCCUCCAACUGUUCCUUUCAUAUCAGUUAAGGGCAACAUGCCGUACUGUACGGAUGGCCCAACGGCGCUAGAGUGCACGCAUGCUAACGUCUCUAUGAAGUGAGUUACCACUCAUGAAGCUGGACAUGCUAAAAAGCCAGGACCGGUGAUAGCACUGACGCCAAAUGCAUCACGUGAUAGGGUACGUCGCUGGGAAGGGCUGGGAGCUAACAGCUCCAGUGCUAGUCCCAGACAUAUAUCGGCGUAUUACAACCUCUCCCAGGAAAGACCCGCUUCUAGAAACAAACAUCCAUUUUGGAUCCAUCCAUCCCUACAUCUCCAAACCCAAGGCUGCAGUAUCCAGUCCUCCAUCCUCCAUCUACACACUACCUGACGCCCCCUUAACUGUGUCACCCCACAACACUAAACCCUAAGCUACAACUAAAAUAACUCCAUCACACCAGCCCUUUUGCUCACUUUAGGUGAACUCUUAGCUGACGCCAGAAUCCAGAUCCUAAUAAAUAGCAACUGCGCUCAAGGCGGCCAGCCAGACAGCUUUCCUCCAUACUCCCAGCUGUCAUACCCGCCGCGAAAUAAGUUCCAUCGGCUAUACCGGCCCACCACCAUCCCCAGGACGCCCAGCAGGUAGCGGCGGCGGCGGCGGCAGCAGCCCAUGUGCCGCACAAGACAGCGCAAUGAGCACCCGCUGGAACUCCUCAACGCUCCCCAGCACUGACCCACGGGCCGCCAGGGGGUCAGGUGCACAAUUCGCCUCCACCAACCGCUUCCGCGGUCUCCCUCGGACCCGGCCACCUUCCCUGGCGCCAACACCAGCGCCGGAGCCUUGACUUGCAGAAGUCGUCCUCGUCGUCGUAGUAGCGGCUGCUGAUGCUGGUGAAAGCGAUGAUGAUGUUGUUGAUGAUAAUGUCGAAGAUGCUUUCUCGGCGGUCUUAAAGGUGUCGGAUGCAGGAACGGUGGUGGUCAGGAGGACCGGCUCCGAGGGGUCGUCGGAGAAAGCGGCAGCUGCAGCGGCUGCAGCCCGGGCAGCUUGCAGUGCGGGCUCCCGCAACUCCUGCGGCACCCGGGUCGGGAGGGGGGAAGGGAGGGGGACGGAAUCAUCUGAUGAUGCAAGGAGCCUGGCUCCCUUCCUGGCUCCCUCCCUGGGAUUUGCCAAAGACGUGAACACGCCAACGAUGAAGCACAAUGUCAGGAGGAGUGCGGAUUGUGAAUGCCUGGGGUCAUGUAGUUGAUUGGGUGGUGUGUACCGUACUUGAAUUGUUAGUUGCAGCAGCUGCCACGCGCGCUGCUGCUGGUUCUCCCAUCCCUCCCCUUCCUCUCCUCCGUCCUCUUCCGGAUGCUGCUGCUGCUGCUGCUCCUCCUCCUCAACCGCCGCCACUGCCGCCGCCACUGCCUCCUCCGCAUCCAUGGCCAAGUUAGACAAAAGGUCUGCAACGACGUUCUGAGACCUGGGGAAGGGGGGAGGGGGAUGCCGGGUUCUCACUUGCAUUUGGGGUUGAGCGAUUUCGUGUACGGGUGGCUGUGGGUGCUUGUGGGAAGGGGGAAGCAUCAAGGCAGGUCGUAACCUCCAUCGAACCUUCCAGGCACUCAGCAGGCUACAAGGCAUGCAACCCUAACCCCAAGAAAUACACAUGCAUGAGCGGAACGAGGGCCUCCAUUGCAAUCCUCCUGAGCUUGCCAAUUUUUACUGUCUCCCCCAUCCUCCUCCUCCUCCUCCUCGUCAUCAAGGCCCCCCUUCCAUUUCCCUCUUCCCUCUUCCCCCACCACCCCCCAACGCACACACUGCUGCGCGAAUCACCUGGGAACGUGUUUUACUUCAAACGACGCCAGGCCCUCCCUCAGUCGAAACACCCGGGCGGCCAGGGGCUGUAGCGCCGGGGUGUUCACGCCAUAGCGCCCGGAGACCUGUGUGACAUGAGGUGUCGCACAGCAGCUUGUCAGAGGGAACAUCAGUGGCAGCGGCCAGAGAGUAGCAGCAACAGCAGUAGCAGAUUGAGGAGAAGUAAAAAAAAGCGUAGCAGUUGUAGUAGCAGUAGUAGUAGCAGUCUUCCUUGUCGUACUAUGUCCACAACCCCGGGUACACCAUCCAUCCAGUCUAUAGGGCCACACCUGGCGGCAUACGAGCUCAGAGUCGCCUUGUACGAUAAGGUGUCGUACGCCCAUAUCCACUGCCACCUGAUGGGAAGCGGCCAAAGGAUGAGACAGGAGGAACAGGGCCCCCAAGGCCCAGGGGGGGUUUGGUGGGUGAGGGAUCGGGGGUUAUCCAAAGGUACAUACAUACGUACAUUACCCCCCGCUCUCGCGGCCCACAGUGUAAUCUAAGUCAUACAUACAUACAUACAUAUAGGCAGGCGGCUGGCAGAGGUUAAGGCCUGACUUCUGCUCCCAGUCGACCCAGUCGACCCGGGUUCAAAUCCGCCUGCCGGCUCCUCGGGUGUUUGAGGAGUGAUGAAAUGGGAGGUGGCCCCCCAUCUUAUGGACGGUGUAGGACGUGAUAAUAUCAACUUGCGAGCUGACCAGGAACUAAGUUGAUGCGCCGUUGAUCCGCUAGAUUUGGUUGGAUGCUGGUGGUGAGUUGCCGAACCCAACGAAUACAUUCUGAAGUCGGAUGGGGUGACGGAUUAGGGUGCCCCUCUAGCAGGGGAGAGCAGGGACUGCCCCGGGAAAGGGGGCCGCUGGCGAAGUUAACCACCCUGUAACAACAUACAUACAUAUAUACGCCUCCAGACGCAGCAAACAUGCUAAGGCGCGGCGUAGUGUCCCCAGAACGUUUUCAGGAUUGAUCAAACAGCGGGUUGAAGAUAUCUCUUAGACCGUAAGAGGGUGGAUGUGGGUGCCCCCAUGCGGAUGGGCGGUGAUGGACACCCCCCGGUCUUAGUGAGAGACCUGCGAGCCCACCACCACCACCACCACCGGGAGUGGAGUGCAGUGCAGUGGAGGUGUCACUGCUGUUGAUCGGGCGGCAAAUUCUACUGGAUGAAUGCCGGUGGCGGUGGUUGUGGUGGGUGCUGGUCUGCUGAACCCAAAAGAGCCACUGAUUUCGCGCAAAAGUCGGCGCACAUGGGUGACAAGAAGGAUGAAAGGAUGGAAAAACCCACAUGCGGUGGGUCCACACACACCUUCAUCCCAGCCGCCAGCGCACUCCACUCCGCCACGUUGUUGCUGCUGCGAACCAACGGACCCGCCACACACUCCACCGGCCGGCCGCUGGCCUCAUCCACCAACACCGCCCCGAAGCCCGCGUCACCCGGGUUGCGACGAGAACCGCCGUCGAACUCCUGUGUGAACGUGAGGUGAGGUGCGGUGCGGCGGAUAGGGACGUGGAGGUAGGGGUGCAGGCGAGGCGGGGAAGCCGGCGGAGGGUAACGUGGGGGUGGGGAUGAGGAUGAGGGCGUACCGCGAACCGUCCUGUUGUUGUGUUGUUCGUAACAAUUCCGCGGCAGUUCCCAACUUCCCCUUUUCCAUUCCGCCGACAUGGCCCUCACAACCGGGCUACUUCCAUACGGCAGCCAACGUGCUUGCCGGUGUGUGUCUGUAUGUGUGUGUAUGCGUGUGUCUCUACGUAUGAAGGUGUGCGCGCCCGUCCAUCGACUGCCACCCGCGCACUGCCGUCCCCCUCCCUACCCUCCCUCUACCCCCCCCCCACCACCACCCCGGCCUCUCACCAGUCGGUAUAUUCGGGUGGGGUCCACAACGCCCGUCAAUGCGCUGAAGUCCAACACCACCUCCUCCUCCUCCUCCUUCCCCCCUACCGCCCUCUCAUACAGCUCCUCCUGCUCGAAUUCGUCCAGGAACACACGGCCACUGCCACCUCCUCCUGCUCCGCGUCCUCCUCCGCUACCGGCCCCACUGCCACCGCCUCCUCCUGAACUGCCAUCACUGAACUGGUCAGGAACCUCGCUCGCGACUGCCCUCCUCCCCUCAGCACCAACCGCAGCUGCAACCUCCGGGUCGAUAUUGCUGCUGCGACUGCUGCUGCUGCUGCUGCCGGUGGUGGUGACGUUACAGGUUGCUACUGGCGGUGGUGGAAGUGGUGGUGUUGGUGACCCAUCAAUAUGCCCCCUGGUCGCUGCGUGCUGGUGUGACGGGCUUGGACUCUGUGGGGCUGCUAGGGCUAGGUACGAGUACGCCUCAGGCAGCUUCUUGAACCUCCUGAGCAGGUCGAGUCCAGCCAAGUCAGGGGGUAGGAGAGUGGGAGUGGGAGUGCACAGAGGUGCGUGGACGUGUGAUAUGCAUCGCCGAGUGGGGGAGUGAAGGUUUGUGUGGAAAAGGUGAGGCACCAGGGCAGUGCGGGACACGAGUAUGUACGUAUGUAUGUAUUUUUCCGUUCGGUCUGGGCAAGACAUAAAACACCCUCCAGGUGCAAACCCUCCCCUCCGUAACCCCACCCGCCCUCCCCCCAACCCCCCACUCACCUAAAUACGGCACCACUGACGCCCUCCACUGCCGUACGCGCCUCCGACCAGCUGGUGAAUAUACCCACCUGGUGUGCCGUAACACCAACAACACAGCAACACCAGUACGGCAGCAGGACCGCAAGCCGUCAUCAAAACCAACCUGUCAUCGGUCAUCGCAACGGCAGCUGAGCCACUAUCUCACCAGCUAGGUCUACGCUGCGCAUCAGACCAGACACACGGCAAGAAAGGGCAUACUCCAGCACAUACAUACACACACACACGCGCAGCAACAUGUCCAGUUUCCGCAAGACUCUACACCUCCCUUCCCCUCCCCUCCCUCUGGCACGCAGGAUAAACCCUAAGCACUUGCCUUAUCUCGGUGCCUUCCCCUCCCCACACUCCGCCGCGCUCUCCCUCCUCACCCAAUGUUAACUGGCCAGUCGCCAGUAGAACAAAACCCCGGCGUCUUCACCCCCUCCCUGGACUCUCUAGGACCUCCAGGAGCGUGUGUUCCCUUCCCCCUCCUCUCCCCCUUUUCCCCUUUCCAGCUCGGGUCCCAUAAACACACAUCCUCACAGCACUUCCCAAUAGUGCAGAGCAGUUCAGUGUAGGGGGCAGUCCUCCGUUGCGGCCCCUGAUGGCCCCCUACCCACCCUGACGGGGUUUGUAUUCCCUUUCGGGGCUCCUAUCCGGGGCUCUAUCCCGCCGUAACGCCCCACUUACUAGAAGAAUAGCCGGCGGCUCAGUUCGACAAAACACACACACACACACACACACCUGCUUGCCCCUGGCCACCGCGUAGUACACCGCGGGGCUGGACGUGGAGGUGGCGGAGGGGUCGUGCGGCCCUCCGGCAUCCGCCCAUGCCGCCUCCACCCCUGCCGCCGGUGCGUUUACCAUUUCCACAUUACCAUCAAACGCCGCAUCAUCUCCCCCACCGCCUCCGCCAGUAACGCCUCCGCCACUGAAGCCGGUCUCAGCGGUCUCGGACGGCAGUGGCCAAGUGCUACUGCUGCUGUUGUUGUUGUUGUUGGUGGUGGUGGUGGUGGCUGCCACCGCCGUCGUUGCAACAGCCGCUGCACCGACGGCAGUAGCACCUACCGCCGCCGUCUCAACAGGAGGUGGCGCGGGUGAGGAGGACUGGAGCGCCUUCUUCGGUCUGCCGCGAGGCCGUUUCGGAGCAGGAUGUGCCGCGCAAAAAGGAAACUCCUCCGCCAACGCCGCCGUACCGCCGGCGGCAGCGUCCGUGACCUCGUCGUCCUUCUCCUUUCCCCUCUUCUUCUUCUUCUUUAGGGGGACCUGCGUCACCGCCGUCGUGUUCCGGUGUUGCUCUAGGAAGCUCUCUGCCUCCCUCCGUGUAUUGAAUCUCCUGACAUACAGACAUACAGACAUACCCGGCAAAGGUGCCAGGUGGCCGGGAUGGGGGUGGGGAUGGGGAUGGAAGGAAACUUUUGUCUGGACGCGGGUUUACCCACCAUCGUAAUCUUCGAGUCAGCAGCCAUCCGUAAAGGGACAAGACGGGCAUGACAGAACAGAGACAAAAGCCACAAAGGACAGCUGCUGACGAUUUGGAAGAGGGAUGGCCCCAGCUACAUGUGUAUGUACGUAUGUAUGUAUGUACGUAUGUAUGUUGUUACAGGGUGGUUAACUUCGCCAGCGGCCCCUUUCCCGGGCAGUCCCUGCUCUCCCCUGCUAGAGGGGCACCCUAAUCCGUCACCCCAUCCGACUUCGGAAUGUAUUCGUUGGGUUCGGCAACUCACCACCAGCAUCCAACCAAAUCUAGCGGAUCAACGGCGCAUCAACUUAGUUCCUGGUCAGCUCGCAAGUUGAUUAUAUCACGUCCUACAUCGUCCAUAUGAUGGGGAGCCACCUCCCAUUUCAACACUCCUCAAACACCCGAGGAGCCGGCAGGCGGAUAUGAACCCGGGUCGGCCGGGAGCAGAAGUCAGGCCAUAACCUCUGCCAGCCGCCUGCCAAUCGUACGUAUAUAUGUACAUAUAUAUAUAUGUAUGUAUGUAUGUUGUAUGCAUGUACGUACGUAUGUACGCAUGUAUGUGCGGCGGGGUAGGGUACGGGAAGGAGGGCGGAGACGGCGGACCUACUUGAAGGCGGCUCCCGAAGCGCCCCUGACUGCGGCCUGUGCCUCAGCCCAGCUCUGAUAGAUCCCCGA